rnacentral:lncRNA from 1 species
UUGAAUUCAAACCAUUAACAUACAUAGUUACAUACAUACAUACAUUCAUACACACACACAUGAUUAUUAUUAUCUUUCACAACAUUAUAAUCAUUUAGAGUUCACAUAACGACAAUCCUUCCUUAUCUCCCCUUGGUCACCGGUGAGAGGGUUGGUCUCGGACAAGAGCCUGACACCGCGUGAGAAUUGUUCAUGGAAGUAACCAUUGUCCGCAGCCAUCUUGGCCACAAAAGGUGCCGUCCUCGGGUCGCUGGCUAGCUCAUCAUCGAUGACAAGGAGCCCUUUAUGAGCCAUGAUGUUCUUGUAAUACAUAUUGUCCACAACCAUGGGAGUCUCACGGUCAUUACGGGAAUAUAAGACUGCGUUCGGAUCCGGGUUUGGACUUGGGCAACGAUUUUUCAAGUAAAGGGCGUAAUCUGGGUCUAGAGUCGGGUCAAUCGUUGGGUAUAGCCGGUGCACUAGAUUAACGCAAUGGACCCUACCAACGGAGUGAGCACCUACGAUAAUAUAAGUUGACUGAUGAGUAAUAGUGACAGUCAUUUUUUGUAAAACUCAUUUCUUUUCUAAAAUCGUGAAAAAAAACAAAAACCAAAAUAUUCAUCCUGGUAGUGUUAGUUACCAUGCCCUGAAAAGUUUGUGUUGUUUUAUUCACAUAGCAAUAGCUUAACAUUUUACAAAGAUUAUAUUCUAAUCAGAUAAUGACUUAAACUAAUUACAUCAUUAUCUCAUUCUAAAUAGUAGUUAUCUUAAUAUUUCCGGCUCAAAUCUAUUGGUCUGUGCAGUUAAAAGAUGGUUACUACUCAGAUUUGCUAUAAGGAAUUAAAAGUUGUUACCUAAUAGAGCAACGGUUGCUUCAACAUCGAUGCCCAUGGAGUUAAAGUUUGAGAGAACAGAGGAGAGGGAGUCAUUGUGGUUAGGAACUAGAGUCUCAACAUCACUCAAGUAACUUCCUCUACUGUCUCUCCUUCCUGUCUUGAUCAUAUCUAUCUUUGGCCCUUUCAACUAUUCAUUUCAACCAAAAAACAGCACCACAAUUAUAAAAACAAUUCCAAACUAAUUAACUUAACCUUAAAAUGCAUAUAGGUAAUAUAUCUAUACGUACCAUGACAAUACCAUCUCUAGCAGAGAGAGCAACAAUAUCAGCGCAAGAGACUGUGGAAGGGCAUUCUUUCUCAAGUGCGUCUUUGAUAACCUUAACGUACUUAAAGUUUCUCAUACCAAAACUCCUCGUUGACUUUUGCUCAGACUCCACACCUCUCGCUGUCUCUAGUAGCAGUGACGCAUCACACGACUACAAAGAGAAGACAUGAACAUAAAUAAAUCGUGUUUUGAAAUUAUAUUAUGAAUAGAUAAAACAGUUAACUACCUUGACGACGCAGUCAUGGAAAAGAUUACGGAGCCAAGAUACGGCUGUGUUACCGUGUUUGUAGUAAAGCGUCUCCACUUGUUGUCUGAUUAUCUCUUCCGCUCUAGGACAACUCUCUCUGUAAUAAUUCAUCUCCAGUUCCGCAUUCCCUACAAUUUUAUCAAAAAUCUAUAAAUUAUUCGUUUUCUCUACAUGCGUGUUAGCGAUUCUAUCAUUAUAAAAAGAAAAUAUUUGUUGAAUUUUUACGGUGGAAAUUAAAUGACUAAAAAUGUGAUAUUUGUGAGGCUUUUUUUUUUAAACCACAGAGAGGCAUAAUGUAAUUAGAGCAAUGAGGAAUAUUAUUACCGAUAUGGAAGAUGGAAAAUAACUGUAAUAACAGACAAAAGAAGGCCAAAAGACAGAAGGGCAUCUUCGCAUUCGCCAUCUCUCUCUCUUUUCUUUUUCUACUUUGUUGAUUGGUGAUUUGGUGUGUCUCUUUUAUGUGUACCAAAGUAGGGUUAUAUAGAGAGUUCAAGGGACUUGAGUGUAUUAUAUAAUUAUUUUUAUUUAUUAGCCAUAGUGGUUGCCCAUAUUAAUUAUUCACUUUUAAUUAUCGGUGGUUUCUUAAUUAUAAAUUAUAAACACAUAUUAAUACUGAAAUUUAUAACCACUAGCUAUGUGAACUCAAUAGUUGUUGAACAUGUGAAUUCAGUGAGACUUGAUUUCCUUUUUUUUUUUUUGUCACAAUGAGACUUGAUUUCCUAUUUUAUCCUAUAAUCAUACAAAACUAAUUAGUUUGGCUUUUCACUUCUGUUCUAUUAUAAUACAAAACUAUCCUUUUCCUCUACUCAAUUUUUCAACCUUCAUUUUUUAAUUAGCCAUCCCCAUACAACUCCAUGCUCCACAAGCAAAGCAGAUAGAAAAGGAGGAGAUAUAAUAUGAAUUACGUACUAACUAAUUGAUUGAAUCGGAUUGAAAAAAAAAAUAGAAUAUUUACAUUAUUUUUUAAUGCUUGCGAUGAAUAUGAAUAUUGCACAUCACCGUCUAGAAUAUGACCAACUCUAUUAACUUACAACCAUGCUAAUCCCUAGGUGUAUACUAUAUGCUAUAUAUAGCCUAUUAUGUUAAAUUCGAAAGUUCAUUCACUAAUAAAAAAUUCUUGUUACCCUUCACUGCAAAAGCUUGUACGACCAUUUUUAUAGAUCCUCACAGCUUACUGACAUUUUACCUUCCAUGCGAAAUGUCAUUACCUAGUUGGAUUCAUAGUUCUCUUUAGAAACUUAUUGCUUCGUUUCUGCAGUUGUAACAAAAGUAGAACGAGAGAAAUGGACUAGCUAGUCACAACUAAGUAUAUGCAUGGCCCAUUAAUGUACUACAUCAUGGCAAAAUUAUUGGAUACAUAUUAGAUAAAAAUCUCUAAAGAUGGCCAAAAAUAUAAAAUUUUAAUUAUCUGUAACCAUUAAUUAACCAAAAUAUAAUUCAGAUAAAGUUAUAGACUCUACAGUAUAGUCUUAUAAUAUAUAUAGCAAUAAUUGAAAUAUAUUGUUGGAAAAUGGGGUUGAGGAUUAGAUAUUCGAUAGAGACAUUUGUGUAUGUUAGCAUUUUUUCCUCAAAUCGGUAAUGCAUGCAUACUUUUAAAAGAGAGUAGUUACUCUUCAAAUCUCGAGUUGGAUAUGGUCUCCGACUCGAUCGGUAAGCUUUUUGUGAGUCGGGCUGCAGCAUGAUUGUCAUUCCAUGGUCAAACUCUAACAUUAUGAGAAGUCUUCUCAAAUAUGAAAGAUGUUUUCGUAGAUGCUCACCGAUCACAUGAACAAGAACUUUACUAAAUCACUUGGAACUUUGGAAGAGUUUGAUUAUGAUUGAUGUCAUGAUAUUUAAGAUAUCUUUUAUUAAGAUACAUACAUCAUACAUACAAUAUAAUUUGUAUUCAAAAAAAUAAUAAAUGAUUAGUAUUCCGGUCUUUGGUCCAAGUGAUCUAUACGAGUUUUGAGCAUGUGUAGCCGUAAGCCGUUUUACGUCAUUUCGGACCGGAGCCGUGUUAACGUUUAUAAUUGUUAGAAUCGAAUUAUAAAAAUCUAUACAGUAAUACUGUAGAAGAAAACAUAUAAAGAAUUAAAUUAACAAAGAAAAUAUUAAUUACACAAUAAUAUUUUCUUAAAAAAUCUAAUCAAGUUUUAUCAUUAAAAUUUAUAAAUAACUUUUAGAUAAAAUAUUUAAAUUAGUCAAUGUAUUUUAUGCCUAUAACCAAGUAAGGUAAAAUUUAAUCAAAUUUUAAAAAAUAUAUUUCAAAAUUGCAUCCAACCUAUUAUCGCCAAUCAAUCUAAUUACUCUAUUUUCUUUAACAGUUAACGUUUGUCUACAUUUUUGUCACAUAGGCAAACUCAUGUUUUAUAAUUACUAGGGGUUGGCCCGCCCUUCGGGCGGGUGAGUUUACAAUAAAAAUUAUUUCAUAUUUCAAUAUGCUUUAACUUUAUAUAGCUUUUUAAAAUAUAUACAUAUAUUAAAUUUAAGAUUAUAUUGUAAAUUUUAUUAAAAUUUGUUGGUUCAAGUUGAAAGACCACUAAUGGAUUUUAGUAAACAUAGAAUUAUUAAAUAAAACAAAAAUAAGGAAAAUGUAAUGAUUUAUAUUGCCUCUUUUGACUUUUAUUUCACUUUUAUAUAGUUGAAGAAGAUCUAAAAAACUGAUACAUUUUUCUAAGAGUUUUAAAUUUUAAUAUUUUACUCUAAUUAAUUUCUCACGAUAUUAAUUAUUUCAUCUCCAACCUAAGUAAAUUGAAAAUAUUAUGUAAUAAAUUUUUUUUUAUUUUAUUUUAAAGUACUAUAUAAACAAUUUCAAUAAUUUCAUAGAUAAUUAAUAUAUCUAUUUGAGAACAAAUGAUGUUUCGUAAUAUAUGUUUGUUUCACUUUAUAUUAGAUUUUCAAUUUAUAAUGAAAUUUUAUUUAGUUAUAGGAUUUUAUUAAUUAUCUUUUGUAAUCAUUUUAGCAUUUGUUAAACUUUGUAUUAUAACAAAAUUAUUUGUUGGAAAUUUUGCUCAGGCUAUUUGGAAAUAUUUUUUUACAGAUUAAUAGUUUUAAAAAUUAAUAAAAUAUUACAGUUUUAACUGAAGUUUACUUGUGUUUCACACCACAUCAUAUCAAAUCAUUUACUUCGGAUAAGGUAAGAUGAACCAAAACGUAUUUUAACCAAAAUAACUUAAAUGUAGCGUGGAGACGAUCGUAGCGUUAAUUAAGUUGGUGUUGUGUUAAGUUAAGAGAAGUUGGAAACUGGUUGGAACAAUUUAAUUAGAGGUUAAUCAUACUUUUUAUAACUAAGAUCUAGUCCUAAUAUUUAGUAGGGCUGGGAGAGUUGAGAGACGCAGUCUCAAAAUCUCUAUUUUCUAUAACAUGUACCUUGUUUUUAGUUCUUUUUCUUUUUGCCAAGGUAAAUCUUAGUUUGUUUAAAAUUUUGUAAAGUUUCACAAACACUUUUUUUAUGGAAUUUCACGUAUAUGGCAAAAACAAUAUAUCUUUCGUAAUUUAAGAAUAUUAUGCAUAGUGACAUCUAUCUAUUCUAUUAAUUUAGAGUCAUGUUUUUAUUUACUUAAAAAGUUAUCAUUUAAGUUUUGGAGUUAUUCACAUAUAUUAGAAAAAAAUAUCUUUAAUGAUUUGGAUCUUUUAGAUAUUACACUUUUUGGAUCCAUUUAAAACAUAUUUCAUUAAAGAUUAUGUCCUUUGAUGAUUUGGACGUAAUAAUCAAACACAAUGAUAGAAUAAUUUAUACAUUUUACUAAUAUGUAUUAUUUGUUGUAUAUGUAUUAUUAUUUGUUGUAUAACAUAAUAUUUUUUUUAAUCUAAUUUCUUUUAUCGUAAAUUAACACUAAGUUGUAAAAUUCUAUUUCAAGUAUUUUUGUUCGUCUGAUGUUGUUGCCAUUGCUGUCAAAAACGGUACCUUCGCGUACAUCAGUCAUCUAUAUAUCCUUAAAGCUUAGCUAUAUUUAUUGAUCAUUUGCAUUUGUAUUAUGUAUAUCACUUAUUGUUAUGUUUUUGUAUGCGAGUUGUGAAUAAUUAUUAGAAGCAGACAUAAACAUUUGUAAUAUAUGAAAAGUGAAAACGAACAUAUCAUUUAAUUGCAUUGGAAAAAUACCCAAAUCUAAAUGAAUUCUUAAGUAUAGUAUAGAAGAAUAAUUAUUGUGAUGUAUUAGUUUUGAAUUUAUUUAGUAUGAAAUUCGUGCUCGAAAAAAUUACUUGUAAAAAUAACACUUGCUUAUUGUAGUUUUUUGUUAGUAAAACUUUCUAUUGAAUGUAGUAUUGAGAAAUAACAUGUGUCUGGUUCGAGACCAUUAACAAAUCUUGUGUGUUAUUUCUGAACCAGACACUUAAAAUACAUUUAAUAUUCAAGAUAACCAAAACUUCAUUUCACCGUCUUACUAACAUGUGUCUGGUUCGAGACCAUCAACAAAUCUUGUGUCUUGUGUUUUCAGUCGUUACCAAAAGAUCAUUUCCCAUCAAAUGCUUUGAAAAAAGUCUCCAGUACAGCACCCAAAACGUACCUAAACAAAGUGUAGUCAUUAGAAAGACUUGGACAUCAUGUGAAGCUUAACAGAGCACAAGAAAGCAACGAUUGUCACACUUAAGAACGUUCCCAUGAAAUUUUCCUUGAAAGGGCCCAGGAUUUAAGCUAACAAAGCUCCAUCAACUGCUUUGCCAAGAAAGAAGCAUUAUCCCGACCUCCCAGCCAAGAGCAGGAGAAAUGAGAUAAUAUGGUCCCCAACCCACCCCGACCAAGGAAGUCGUUACAAAAUAAUCUUGUAUCUCAGUUUUUGAAAACACUCAAAUUUGGUUAAAUUCUUUAGUUUACAUGUUGAGCAAUACAAAGGAUUGAAUUUCUUUUGUAUUAUUAUCAGAUGGCAUUAGCAAAAGAAUCAAACAUUUAUUGUUCCUAGUUAUACGUUUAUAACGCUAAGGUAGGUUAUUUGGUUACUGAAAAUUUUGCUGAGAAUAAAAAGAACAAAAGACUCUGGAUGAAUGCAACAAAAAAAAAAUGAAAGAAAGAAAUGUUCUCUAUCUAUCCAAAAGGUAGUCACUCUUGUUGUCUUGGAGUUGCUCUCGGAGCUUUUGUUACAUCAAAUUUGCUCAAACCACGGAUCAGUUUGAUGAUAUGAAGUUGUCUUUCUAUUCCGAUUGAGUUUGCUUCUUGUGGUUCUAGUAAACUACCAGUUCGUAGUUCGGGUCGAGAGCUUCAAUGGCCUGUAGAGAGAUUAUAACAUUGUGUAAAGAGUAAAGCUCCUUCAACAGGUUCUAUAGAAGAAGAGUUGGUCCUAAAUGUUUACCUGAAGCAGACUUCACACGCAGUGUAUAAUGGCUCUAGCGGAACCUGUAUGGAGAUAGUGAAGCCCUUUAGCGCAUAUCUCAAGCUUCUGUCUCCAGCUCAACCUAGGAUUAUCCGAGUCAUACAGAUGGUCUUUAAGCAUUCCUUUUUUCAUAUACUCAUACACAACGUUCAUCUUACUUUCCUCAUUGCAAUACCUGAUUAAAGAAACCAAAUGCAUGCGUCUGAACUGAGACAACAUUUUGAUCUAUGUCCUGAAUUUUUUUGAUGUAAAGCUAUAUGGAGCUGAUUACUAUUUCUGUGUUAAAAAAUUAAAAAAAAGAAGACAUUACAUUCUGUGGUUGAAGAUACUCACGGUCCAAAAAAGAUUGAUUCUGGUGAGAUACCAUGUAACAGAAAGCUUUCUUUCGUUGUUUGCUCUUUUAUCUCAGGGACACUGCACUCAAAACAAAAGAGAACAGUUCGAUCCAAUUAAUAUUUUUAAUAUAUUCAGUAUUUUAUCAGUGGAAGAGCAGAGAAGUUGGUUUCAAACCUUUGGAUAAGGCACCAACGAAAGUGAAAGAAAUUGUCGGUCAAGAAACGCACUAACAGAUGGGUUACGUGAAAGUGGUCACCUGUGGGGAGAUGUGAUAUAAGCAUUUAGCUCAGACAGUGUUAACGUUCCGAUCUUCUUAACACCACCAUAUUUUGUAGACGUUGAGGAUGAACCUUCCUACCGAGACCAACCUUGUGGUGACCAACUCUGUAUACGAUUUAUAACAUGAAGAAAUGUAAGUUAUUUGCAGAGUAACAAAGGUUAUAACUCCUUACUUUGUGAGAUAACUUUGGCUGGCAAUACUCUCAUGGUCAAAAAAGAAAUGUAUUCCUGGAGUAGCAUUUAGAAAAAAGUUGGCCUAAAAUAACAGAUGAGUGUUAGAAAUGGUUACCUCCAACUAAUUUAGGGUUGAUAUUGGUGGCUACAACAACCUUUGGUUCCACACCUGACAUUACUAAUUCCUCAUCGAUGAGCUCUGCGAGGUUGCCAAAUACACUUAUGCAUGCGGGUCCGUCCCUGCAAAGUUGAGCAUUCAGACAGUCGGACAUUAACAAUUAAAUGACAUUUUGCAACCCAUAGCCUCCACCUUUCCACAUAUGAAAAUAUCAAAAGAUACAGAGCAAAAUGAAUAAAAAUUAAUACCACAACACAAAGUUAUAGACUUUUAUCAUGACAUUCAUCACAUAAUAUAUUUUUUUUAAAAAGUUUGAUACAGAGAAACUAAGGGUUAAGAGAGAAUGUUUUCCUAUUCCAAACUUCUUCCUCUGUUCUGUACCAAAGACAAAUAAAGUUGUAUAUAUUAAAUUGGAUCCACAGUUCCUAAAAUUAGAUAUCUCAGAAUAGCAGGAAGCAGUCAACAACACAGAGAAUGAACAUUUUCCCUAACCACACACAGACUUAAUUAGUACUUCAGGGAAGCAUGUUAACUAAACCUGAAGAUGUAAUCUAGAUGUCAUGUAAACGACGUAAGGUCAGACGACAACAACCAAACCGCUAAGGGGAUCUAUGUGAAGCAAGUAAUGAGUUCAGGCUUCAGACAUGAGGCGUCAAGUGGAUUGGUAUCUCGGUCUAAGUGGUCCUUAUGCCCCGCACCUCCCCCAAUGAUAUCUGCAGAGAAACAUAAGGAUUAAUGGCAGAUUUUAGAGGAUGAAAUUAAUUAUAGGUCAGGUAAUGAAGUGUCUAACUGGCAAUUCAGUGUUUGUGUUAGCCAGUGACAAUAGCUGGUCGAAAUUUACAAAACCUGAAGCUCUUUGUUGGGCUAGGGUUAUUGCUAGCUGAGAUAUCGACGAAACUUGUUUGCUCUACGAAUCUGAUUGAAACAGGGGCAUCAGCGAAUCUGAAGUUUUGGAUGCUCCUGGUGACAUCAAAAACAGUUAGCUCAUAAAAGGAUCCUUGUUUGAGCAGGUGUUUGAAUCUAGAUGGUGAAGGAUUGAAAUAAAAUCAUGGAUUAAAGUAACUUAUAAGAGAUUAAAGAGAAUCAGAUAAUCUUCCCGUCAAUCAGAACCAUGUCAACACCUAUGAACUUACCCCUUUUCUCUGCAAUGACCUUCCUUCAAUUCUGAAAAUAGAAUCUGGAAAUUAACCAUUCAUUUUUGGAUCUUUUCUGGAGAACUCUUGAAAAAACGUUAGCAGACAGAAGAACUAUGAAACUCACUUGUGAAAUUGAUCGGAGAAAAGAGUCAUUUAAGAAGAGGUAAUGGGUUUCAUUGAUUCAACUCGACGUUACCUAGUAGAACCGAGGCGAAGAGGAAAAGGUACGGCUGAAUCUGAAGUGAUUGAGUUGCCACGUGGCGAAAAAAGCCCAUAUCUCCUAAAUGACGUGGCUGCAGGAGGUGAGAGAAAACUCUCCUUUAUAGUUAUAGAUAUUAUGAUGUUAUAGUAAUAGAUGAUGCCUUUGAUUUUGAAAAUUUUUUUGCUGCCAUAAGCGAAUGUUCUUUUUCUUUACACUGAGGCUGCACUGUUUCGGACAUGUUCUUGAUGCAAAAUUAAUGCGUUUAUCGAUGUUAAAAUGGGAUAUUUUGACGUCACUGAAUGUUCUAAUCAUCAUAUCAGCCGCUCAUCCGUCGACCACUUUAUCACUUAUGUAAUAACACACUCCACAAAACAUUUGGUGAAUUCGGUUUAUAUGCAUUGAUGGUGGCACUGAGAGUUUCUUUUUGCUGGACGUUUACGAGUCUAGACCUAUCUUAAUCAGCAACUUCAAAUCGGUUGCCACUAUUUCAACUUAGUAUUCAUAAAAAAAUUAUAAGGAAAAAAAAAUUAUAAGGAAAGAUAUCGUCUCAUUUUCUUAAUUUCUAGUUUGUCGUAUUAAGUUAAAAUUUUAAAUAUAUUUCAUCACAAUAUGCAUGUAGUACGAAAUUUUUAUAAUGCAAUUUACUAAAACACUGCUUUUCCAGAGCAGUAUAAAAAAAGUUCAUACGUAUUAUUUCAGAAAAUUUGUAACUACAAGAAUCUAAGUUUUUUUGUUUGUUUAAAAUAUCUUGCAUUAAUAAUACUUCUGUUUUAGAUUGGUAUCGUAAUUCGUUUUGCAAUGAUAAACACUUCAUUAGUUUUAUAAUGCAUUUUUAAAAGUAUACUCAUAGUUUACUUAACUUGAAAGCAUACAAUAUUUUUUUCGAAGAUUCCUUGGUGUAUUAUGAAUGAAUUAAUUGAAAGCCAUUAAGUUUGACAUUUUAGGCACUUGCGUAAUCGCAUGCGCAUUUGCAAACCACUAAUAAAAACCAAGGAUCCCACUUACUUGACCAAUGGCGGCUGUAAUACUCUCGUCUUUUUACCGUCCAAUCCAUUCACUUCCACACAUAAUGCUUUGUUGCCGAUGCUUCACUUAUCUUCAACACUCAUUAUGUAUAUGAUCCCCCACCCCAGUUUUUCUCUACAUCUAAAAGUAUAUGUGUUUUUUUUUCUGGAUGAUUAUGAGAGUACUGAUCCUCUUUCACCAAUAACAAUGUAUUUACUUUCUAAGAUUCCGAGCGUUUUGUUUAGUUUACUUUGUAAAUAGGUAAUAAAAGUAUAAAACUAAUGAUUUUUGUUUUUAAAUACAAAGUUUUGUUUAGAAAGAUUGAAAUGCAAUAUUCUUGCAAUGAAUCUUGAUCAUAUAUUUGGAAUAGUGAAAGCGGCCGUGGAAUAAAGUUUGAUGAAUGACAAAAAUAGAACACAAAUUGCUAACUGACAUGUUAAAUUAUAUCUAAACGAGAAAGAUUAUAAUCAUUUCCCUAGGUUUCAACGUAAGUACUCUCUCCGUUCUUAAAUGUAAGAUAUUUAGAAUAGUUUUUAUGUUCCAUUAUAUAAGAUAUUUUCGUAAUUCUAAAUAACUUUAAUUUUAUCAAAAUUUGUGUAACCGAUCAAAUUUAAUAAUUUUAUUUUGUAAUUGGUUAAAUAGUUUUAAAUUUAUAACUUUAAUAAUACUUUUAAAAUAAAAAAUAGUUUUUUUAAUAAGUGUAUUUUAUGUAAAACAUCUUAUAUUUAUGAACAAAGAGUAUAUGAUAACUGAUACCACAAACACAUGUCCAUUGUUGUUUCUGAUAUCAAAAUAUAGGAUCGGUCUUGAGAUUUAUGAAACAUGAAAAAACUACGGUAUAAAAACUGAAUGAUCCUUACAUAUAUAUGUCUGGAUAAUUUAGAAAUUUAAUGAUCCAUAUAUAUAUUAUUAUUAUUAAUCUGCGGUACUAUCUUAGACAUGUAAAAAGAGUUCAGUAAGGGGAGAUGCACUUCAUAGAUUGACCAUUUACCUGGAUAUUCAAAUGAAGCCAAAAUCAUGGUCUUAUAUUCAUGUGGGCACAAGAUGAAGUGUAAUAGAGUGUUUUUAAACCAUGGUUGCUUAGGCACUUAAAACCACAUACUGAUAAAAUUCAAAGUCCGUAUACCAAUAAACCACCUUGAACCACAUCGUGGUGGUCUAGUGGUUUUUACUAGAGGAGGAGUUGUUCUGUUGGUCCAGGCCAGAGAUCGAUUUCUCUCUAGUGCGAAAUUAUUAGCUCCACAUGUGACCACGCGGAUAUGGACCCAUGCUUACGGUCCAUUUGAAUACCCGGAAGAGGAUCCAUCCGUGGGUUGCACCUCCCACCCGUGGGUUGCACCUCCCACCCGGGGGUUAGGUCUGUAUCUUUAAUAGAUCCGGAUUUAACCUUUUUAUUUUCAAAAAAAAAAAAAAAUAAACCACCUUGUGAUUUUAUACACAUAUAUUAGGCACUUAAAAUUUAAAGAUUUAAACGAACGUUUUAUCAAGUCUUCCCUAAAACCGAAGAGAAACAUUUGAUCAUUAGUAAAUCGUUGAUGACAACUAUGAACGCAGAAACACGACCUGCGGACCUGAAUUUCUUAGUUCAAUGUUGUAAUGCUUCUAAGAUGCAAAUAUGGAAUUACUCUCACAUAUCUCUUCUAAAUAGAAUGAAAAGGAAACUGCGUUACUUGUUCUUAGAAAUAUGGACCAACCUUGCUUCUCUCCCGGAAAAUUGCUCGACACAGCAAGCGUGUCGGAUAAUAAUUCUUGAUUUCCUGUCGUUUCGUUCGAAACAAAUCAAUAUAUUCGUUAAUAUGUUAGUGUAUUAUUGGCCUUAUUGCUACAUAAUAAUUUAUAUUUUUUGAAAAUGAAUGCGACUUAUGUGAGUUGACCUAAUGAAUAUCUCUAGGAAAGCCUUAUCCCUAACAUUAAAUUUUUAUUAUACCCUUAUUAUUUGUAUUUUAGUUUUUUAAUCUGCUUAAUUAAGUUUACAUUAUAGCUAGUAUCCUAAGUUACGAAUAUCUCUAAGGCCCUAUGCACUACCUAAAUCAGCGAGUACCAUUAGUUAUGAACAUGGUGAGCUGUGAUGAUUAAUGCCGUAGAACCUGAAUACUAUGAUUAGACACAACUUUGAAAGUAACUUGAUCUUGUACCAAAAGUUCUUUUAGCUUCAGUUUAUAUUUUUAUACAAAUUUCUUUAAAAUCUGAAGUUCAAUUUUAAAUUAGAAUCCUCUUAAAAUGGAGUUCAAUUCUAUCAUCGAAAUCAAAUAUCAUGUUGACUUUAUAAAUAAAUGAUAACGAUUUUAAAACAUCUAGAAAAAUCAUAUAUCUGAUAUUGUAAACUGAAGCAAAAGUUUUUAUUUCUUACCUAUUUUAAGUCUGAUGUGGUAGUUGAUUUAGACUUAUACAAGCAAUAGCACCCCUUAGUGGUCUAUUUUUAAAUACCAGUCUAUGCUAUGCUUGCUUUCAAUAAACACUAUAAAACGAAAUGGUUGAACGUGGCCAAGGAAACUCAAAACUGCUAAGCUGAAUUUGUUUUAUGAUAUCUUAGUAGUAAGUUCUGAACUACUGUCUUAGCAAAACUGUAUAGUUAACUGAUGGUUGGAAAAUGAAAGAUGUGACUUACAGAACUGGAGAAGAGCUUACCAAUCCUCAGGGGAAAGUCAAGGAUCACCUCUUUGUCAUAAAGAAGAUUUCCCUUCUAUUUACAACCGUCACUAUGACAACUUAUGUUUUUGUUUUUCUUUAAAAAAAAAACAUGCACACAGAAAAUAUAACCAUAAAGUAAAGGAGGUAAACUAAUAAUCUAAAUACAGUUUAUUAUGGGUUCUUAGAAGAAGCAUCUGGUAUAGCAGGGGCUUUGCAAAUAGGGCAAGAGUUCUUCAUAGACAGCCAUUUCUUGAUGCACCCACCAUGGUAGUCAUGACCACACCCUUUAAGCUCUCCUAACUCUUCUCCUUCCACGUACUCCUCCUAAUUAUUACCAUUACCAACAUCACACCAUUAGCCUAUCUUUUAACUUCAUAUAACCUUCCACUUUCACAUAAAAAUGAUUUAGAAGAAGCAAUCUUUACCAGGCAGAUUGCACAUUUUCUUUGCUCAUCCGUUUGAUACAAAGGGUAAUAUGCGGUCUCUGACAAGCAACUGGAGAUUGCGUUGUUGGAUAGACCAGUGUUGACACUCCCAAUCCUUUCUCCCAGCGCAAGAAGCUCCUGAAGUGUGUCAAUCAUUUUAGAUAUAAAUAUCAGUUGCAAGACUUCUAACUAUGUAAGGCUUACAAAGAAUUAAGUGUGUUGUAAAAUUAACCUCGUAGGUCAUGUCAUCUAUGUCCAGCCUCAUGUCUCUGUGGUGAUCAAGCAUAUUUCUGGAUCCAUGCUGCAGAUGGUGAUCUACAACCAUAAAUCCCUGCAUCAAAAUAAAAAAAUAUUGAGAGGCUGGUCCCAUCACUUGCUACUAGAUAUGCACUAUAUCACAUUGGCUUGAGCUUCGAAGCUUAAGUUAUUAUUGGUAAGUUGUACAGAAAAGGAUAACCAGACCUGAGAUGAAAACCGUUCAUGGAGAGCAGCUUCAUCGAAAGGAGGCUGAAACCUCUCAUAAGAACUCCUGCGUCUCCCUGGACGACCACUGCUACGCCAUGAAAUGUGUGGUGGUGGCCUUAGAUGCCUAGAAGGGUAUGUCUCAUUAACAAAAUGAGACCUGUCUGAAGAAGAAGAUGCUACAUGUCCCAACCGCAAACCGUUUGAUGAAGCUCUAUAGGUAGGUGUUGACCUAUGAGAGAAGCGGGAGCUGCUUGCAGAUUGCGUUGAAGUUCCAGGGAAACAGUGUGAAGCUGCAGAGUUUCUGUUUCCGGUUAUCCCCUGGUGAUAGCCAGAGGUAUCACCAGAUGUGUUGUUGACAACACUUCUCGCAGGAAGAAAAUUACUUGUCUCUGGACUAAAGCCAUUUAUACCUCCAGGAACUGGAGAGAGUCUAGGAUAGUUCCACUCCUUAUCUCUGUGAGAUGCCUGACCAGGAAACUGACCUGAACUAGGAUGCUCAACAUUGUGGUGUGUAGGAUGUGAAUCAAGGCCCGUCUCUAAAUCAAGUGUAGGACGGCUCCGGACAUUCCUUGAAGAACUCUCUCCUCGGAUAGAGAGAUUAUUACUUCUGUGAGUUGGGUCCAUGAGCCACGGCAUGUAAUGAGGAUCAUGAUCAUGAGUUAUUGAUUUUCCCAUGUGCAACUCCGAGGGGAAAUGCAUGUCUGAGGAAGCUAUGUCACCGUGGUACUGGCUUGAGCUACCCAUUUCAUAGAUGGAAGAAUCAUAUGGGGCUUUCCGCUUCAGUGAUCCUCUCAUAUUUUCCAUAGGUAGAUCAGAAUAGCUAUCAUUUGACCAUGUAUGGCUGUUGCAGUUCGAAGAAGAUGCAGAUGUCACAUAAGUUUCAUGCGGAGCAGAGAAAGUCGCAACUGCUGAGCUCAUGAAAGGAACAUGGGAUGGGCCCGAAGUGCCUGGAUUGUAGUGUGGCCUCUCCACACCAUGAACUGGAGCAGUGUAGGCACUUGGUCCUAUAGAAGAGUUCCAAUGUGAAGAAACUGGCACUCCUUCACUCAACAAGUUUUCUGCUAGAUAAGCAUGCGGUCUGUUGUUCUCACUGGUCCCAGAUCUUUCUGAGAAAACGUGGACAUAUUAAUAAUAACAUAAGAUCAGAAAUUUCAUGCACAGGGAAAAGGUAAAGGAUAUAUAUAUGUGAUGGUUAUAACAUGUUGCCUCCUAAUUCUCACUACCUAGUGAAGCCGAAUCUACCCAUGAGGGAGAACCACAUGGAACUUCUUAACCUAAACAUAAGCAUGCAUCAUCAACUCAAUAUCUCUUCCAAAAGUUGAGUCUAUAAAUGGAGAACGAGGUUCAAAGAUAGAAAUUCGAAACAGAGUAAAGAUCUAAUAUGAAUGUACGAAUAGUUACCUAGACUCGUAUAUGGAUGCUCUGGGUGCAUAUGAUUCCAGCCUUGAUCAUGUUCAUCAUCAUCAAAAAAUUGGGAUGAACCAGGAAAAUGUCUGUGCCCCAUGGCUGAUUACACAAAGCUUCAACCUGCACAGAAAAUCAUCUCAAUAUUUAAAUUUAUCUACAAAAACAUUUGCAAGCUCAGAAAUGUUUUUUUUUUCUUUUAAUUACUAAGCAAACUCAAUAGUUCAUUUACAUAUAAUAACAUACACGUAUUGAAGUUGAAGAGCAUCAAAAGAACAAUAAAUAUAUAAAUCAUUUUGAUGUGAUCAUUUCACCUUCUAUCAACACAUACCAACCAACGAUGAUGACUUGUACAUUCAAAACAAAGUAAGAUCGAUCGCAGGAAAAGUCACCGAUGGAAAAGCAAACAGAUGAUCGGUGACGAGAUGUUAAAAAAGAAAAAAGACAUAUUGAUUAAUUGCAAUCGCCUCAGCAUAUAGAUACACACAAACCGUUAUACGAACACGAAACCUCAGCUCAAACAAAGGAUCGGAUAAGAGAGAAACAUACCACAGAGCGCGCGCGCGGCGAUGGAGGAAGGAGGAGACUGAUCGUCGGAGGAGGAAUGGAUUCGUACAGAUGACGCAGCUUCUUAGAAAAGAAAAGGAGAGGUUUUUGAGAGAAAAAAGUUGCUUCCUUUUUUUUCUUUUUAUUUGUUGCAAUGGAAGAGGAAGAGGAUCGGUUUUUAUAUUUAAAAAAGAGAGAAAAGCAAAUAAUCAUCAUCAAAGGAAAAAUUAGGACGAAACAUGCGAUUAAUAGCGGCGGUUGUGCACGUUGCCGGGAAAUUUAGACCACUUUCACCGGCUACCGGUGGAACCCGUUCAAUGUUCUUUUACCGACUAAACCCAUUUAUUAUGUGUCCCUGACUCGUGAUUAUUCCCUGUUAUUAUAGGUUUGCAUUUUUCAAAUUUCAAACCUUUCACGACUGGUCGAAGCUGAUGAAGAAACCUUCUUUUUUCUUUUUGUUACUUGAUAAUGGGCCUAUUUUGGACUAUAUAUGGGCCUCGACUGGAUAUUUACCAGUCGAAGGAGUAGACCGAUCGAAGGAGGAGGAAGCAAAGGAGAGGAAUGGAUUCGUACAGAUGACGCAGCUUCUUAGAAAAGAAAAGGAGAGGUUUUUGAGAGAAAAAAGUUGCUUCCUUUUUUUUCUUUUUAUUUGUUGCAAUGGAAGAGGAAGAGGAUCGGUUUUUAUAUUUAAAAAAGAGAGAAAAGCAAAUAAUCAUAUCAUCAAAGGAAAAAUUAGGACGAAACAUGCGAUUAAUAGCGGCGGUUGUGCACGUUGCCGGGAAAUUUAGACCAUUUUCACCGGCUACCGGUGGAACCCGUUCAAUGUUCUUUUGCCGACUACACCCAUUUAUUAUGUGUCCCUGACUCGUGAUUAGGCAUAUUCCCUGUUAUUAUGGGUUGCAUUUUUCAAAUUUCAAACCUUUCACGACAGGUCGAAGCUGAUGAAGAAACCUUUUUUUUUUCUUUUCUUUUGGUUACUUGAUAAUGGGCCUAUUUUAGAUGGGCCUCGACUGGAUUUACCAACAAACUUGUGUGUCCAUCUUAUUAUAUACUUUAUGAUUUGUUAUUUCAGAAGAUGACCUUUGUACGUAUAUUCAAGAAAAGUGACGCAUUGUUUCGGAUACCGUUCCGUUUGGAUCGAGUAUUUCGGAUUUCGGAUAUUUUAUUAUAAAAGUUUAGAACCUGUUAAUUUUAUAUACCGGGCCGGAUUCGAAUAUCCCUAUUUCGGGUUUGGGUAUUUAUAGUGUAUACUUUGCAGAUAAAAAAAUUAGUAUUUUGUAGGUGCUUAAAAAUGUGGAGAAAAGAAAUAUUGUAAUGGCCAGAAUGAGAAGAAAGUUAAGAUGUACCAAUGAGAUCUCUUUACACAUCUUUAUUCUUUCUUUCUUCUUCUUAAUUAAGAAUUCACCUCACACAAACAAACGUGCUUUGAUCUCACUCUUGAAAUCAGAUGCAGAAGAAAAGCAAAGCUUUUCAAAAUUUUAAGAUCUCUAUAGAACCACUAGGAAAACUUCGAUGCAAUCAAAUUCUACAUAAUUAAAUCAAUCUCAAUUUUAAAUAGGCUUAGCUUUGUUUCAACAAUUUCAACAGAUUGCACAGUCGGCUAAACUAAAUGGAGAAUGAGAGAUGUAGAUUUAAUGUUAUAUAUAUGUAUGUUCGGGUAUCCGAUAUAAUUAACCGAUUGGGUUCGGUUAUCUGGACAUGCUCAUAUCAAAACAUGUUUAACUACUUUGCUAUUUUGGUUGUAUCGGGUAAAAUACCCAGACCUAUUUUGAACCAUUACAAAAUCAAGUUCUUUAUAUCUUAAAGUAGUAAUAGUGAAUGGUAAUGUCAACACAAAAUAAGUGUUCACUUUCAUGUACGUUGGACUAGAGUUAUCCGAUUUUAGUUUAUUACUUUAAUCUCUUAAUCCUCUUCAUAUUGCUAACCUGAAUCAGAUGAAACUUAUAAGUUGAAGUAUUGAACCAUUGUAGAGUAUCUAAAUCUUUGUAACAUUUUAUUUUCUGAAAAUGAUGAUGGUAAUAAAAAAGGAAAAUUAAAAGCAGGCAAAAACAAUAUGAUUUCAUUAAGAUUGUUUUCCCCGAUCACACAAACAUUCAUUCACAUAUAUCCCCACACUGAUGCCAGAAAUUAGAAAAAGACAAUAAGAAAUUGAAACUUGCCAAAUUUGUACACACACCAUAACAACCAUUUUGUAAUUGUUUUUCUUAGGCCGCACUUCUGAAGGACCCGAGGGAUUUGGAACCGGAAGCUCUUAGGACGAAUUGGUGGUAAAAUGCAGCAAUCGCAGCUCCAAUGAAUGGUCCAACCCAGAAUAUCCACUGUAAAUAAAAUAAACCAAAAAAUACUCAAUUAUUCUCACAUCAUAAACAUUAAUUAUAGUGUGAUUGGCUUCUACUAAAAGAGACAUACGUGGUCAUCCCACGGCUUGGACUCGUUGUAGAUAACCGCAGCUCCGAAACUCCUUGCCGGGUUAAUUCCUGUUCCGGUGAUCGGAAUAGUGGCCAAGUGAACCAUGAAGACCGCAAACCCUAUCGGAAGUGGCGCCAACACCUAUUACAUACAAGUAUAAUUAAUUAGUAGCUCGAGUUAUAUCAUAUGUUAACUAACGUUCUUGUAAUUACUACUUGAUGCUAAAAAUACUUACGGGAACGUGGGAGUCUCGUGCGUUUCUUUUGGGGUCUGUGGCUGAGAAGACAGUGUAGACCAGGACAAAAGUUCCGAUGAUCUCUGCGGCGAGUCCAGUCCCUGUGCUGUAUCCGUCGGCUAGAGAGUUGGCUCCUCCGCCGUAACGCACGUAGUAAGCGCUUUGGAAGGCUUUGACAAACCCAACUCCACAAAUCGCACCUAAACACUGAGCCACCAUGUAUAAAACCGCUCUAACCAGCGAUACCUUCCGGGCCAAGAACAAGCCGAACGUCACCGCCGGGUUUAUGUGACCACCUUCAUAAAGUUUGGGGUCAAUGUCAAAUAAACUAUAAAUGAAAGGGUAUGUUUGUUAAAACUGAACCGGACCGUUUUUUGUAUAUUAAUACCUGAGAUACCGGCGGUGCAGUAGACAAGGAUGAAGAUCAUGCCGCCGAAAGCCCAUGAGAUACCGAGGAUUCCGACGCCUCCGCAGUCGUCGCCUCCUGCCUUAGUGUCGGAGGAAAUCUUGUAGCCGAUGACAGUCAAAACGGUGACGUACAAAAAGAGGAGAGUGGCUACGAACUCGGCGAUGACUGCUCUGUAUAAAGACCACUUCGUGAGCUCCUCCGCGUCGAAAAACGGAGUAGGCGGUGGGUCUUCGUAGUCCCUCGCCGUGACUCCCUCUGCUCCUUCCACAUCUUUAGCCAUUUAAUAUAUUUCUGUUUAGGAAAAAAUGUGUUUUUGGUUAUUAUGAUGGUGAAGAGAUGAAGAAAAGUUUGUUUAUAUAGAGUGAGUUUAUGCAUACAUAUGAAUAAUUGUAAGCUAUACGUAUAUUGUUAUUUGAUUAUAUUACAAUAUUGUUUUCAUUGGUUGGUUAUGGUUAUUCUAUUACUCGUAAAUGAAUAUAGAACUAUAUAUGACGAUUAUGAUUAUUUUGGUGGAAAACUAGCUUGCACUAAUUAAUUACCUAGCUAGCUGUCUUGAUAUAUAAUCUAAAACCAUAUAUACUAAUCAUUGCUCCAUAAUUAAUAUUAUCUCUACUAGAUUCUUUGUCCGCGCGAUUAUGCAUUAUAAUUUUAUUUCAAUAUUUUUUUUUAUAUAUAUUUUCAAUAUAUUUUUUUAUGAAUAUAGUUCUACAGUAAUGAACUAAAAUUGUCACUACAAAGUUGAAGAUGGUUUUUGUUGAUAUUUUUAUCUUGUUAAAUUUAAAUAAUUAUUUUAUGUUUUUUUAUAUAUUAUUUCUGAGCGGUUUAAUUUGAUUCAUUGUGUUUUUUUUAAGCUGCUAAUAACAUAUAUAAUGGGAUUGGAGUAAAAAACAAUUUUGGUGUUGAGGUGAGUAGUAAAUUUUAGCAUUAUUUAGAAAGUUAAUUUAAAAAAUCAGAUAUGGUUAUGAAUGUCCCUUUCCCUUCACCUUUUGUAUAUGUUUGUUUCAAACUUUGAUAAAUUUUUGUCAUCUACUUUGAUACAAAAAUUAUAAAUACAAUUAUUUAUAGUUUUCUACAGAAUAUUUGGAAUUCUAAAUUACAACAAAAAUUAGAAUCUUUAAGUUUAUAUCCUUCAAGUAAUUUUAUUAAAAACAUAAGUAGUAUAUAUUUACUACUGUUUUUUAUGCUAAAUGUGAAUAAUUUUGUUAUUUUAAUUUAGUUUGGUUGUUCAUCCUAAAUGUGUAAGUAUUUUGUAAACUUAUAUAAUUUUUAUAUGUUGUCUAAUACUAACAUUAUAAGAAAAAUAAAAUAAAAUUGGUCUCCCAAUUUUUAAAAUUAAAUAUUUAACAGCUUUAUUUUGAAAAGGGUAAAACAAAAUGAUCCGUAUAUAUUUUAUAAAUAAAAAUAUCAUAAUUAUUAAAGAUAUAAUAUAUAAAAUAAAUAAUAUGUUUGUCUAUGUAUUACUGAUUAUAUAUUUUUUGUUCUUAGAAUCGGAAAUAUUUUAAAACGUAAUUAAUUGUUAAGCUAAUUCUUAUUAAUUCAGUACACAAAUACUACUGAGAUUUGAAAAAAAAAUAAUGUAAGAAUUGUUCAUAAGUUUUUUUUUCAUAUAGCUUUAGAAAAAUAUAUAUAUAUAUAUAUAGAUAUUUUCCAUUUUUGUUUUUUAGAAAAAUAAAAAAAAUAUAAAAUAAGAAAAAGAUAGAAAUUUUGAUAAUGGCAAUUACAUAAUAAGUUUAUGCUAUCGAAUAAAACUUCAUGCUUCUUCUUAAUUCAUUAAGGUUAUCUACUCAAUUGACCAUCAUGAGCAGGAUAUAUAAGAAAACAACUUUUUAAAUAAUUUGUUAUUGUACAUUGUAUACUAACAAUAUAUAUUUUAUUAAAAUCCUAGUUUAAAAAUUCAAUCUUCAGAAUAUAAAAAUAGAUUAAUAAGAAACUUUUUGGUUAAUAAUAUAAUUGAUCAAUUUUGAAGCUCUCGGUUGUAACCUUUUAAUACAUGUCUUUCUAUUUACAAUUUUAACUCUUUUGCUUUUCUUAUUCGUCCUGCUUGAGACAAAUCUGUCAAAUAAGACUUCAUUCUUCUUCUUCAUCCAUCGAAAUCAAAACUUUUAUUCCAAGUCUUUUUAAUCCGAGUGGUAUUACUAAAACAGAUGGCUAAAACUGAAAAAAAAAAAAACAUCCAUUAAAGAGAGACAACAUUAAAGAAUUCACAUUAGACAAAAGAGUUAGCUCAUCGUAGACGUUACACGUGUAUCUAAAUCUAUAAAAUAAACAAAAUGACUGGAUGGAGAUACCGAAACCACGAGUUAAGACAUGGCCGUUAUUGGGAAAUGUCCGGUAAAGAAAUUCAUUCGAGAGGGCUGAGGCACAAUUACUUCUUGGCAUCUCUCUUACUUCACAUCCUCUUCAUCUGCUUCCUCUUCAGCAUCCCGAAGGAACUGCACAUGUGGAGUUUGCAAGAUAUGCGUCUACGCGAAAAAGUACAUGAAUGAUGAUCUUGAGCUUGUUGAUAUUAAAUGAAAAGCAAACACACAGAGCUUAAAGGAGUCAGCUACGUCUCCUCCCUCUCCCCUCUCCCAAAAGAGUCAAAACACUUGCCACUUACAUAUAGAAAUAUAAUUCCAAAUACUGAGCGAGAGAGAUAUUGAGACAACUCUCGGGCUAUGUUAACGUUGUGACCUCUCAGACCUUGUAACAGAGGCAUGUGGAUGUGGAUUAUAUAUUUAUAUGUUAGAUAGAUGUAUCAGAACAACAUAAAUUGACAGGGAUCAGAAGAUCAGGUCUUACCUUAUCGUUGAUCAUGAGGAGCUCAAGACCAAUGAAUGGCUGCUGCCGUGCAUCACUUAGUAACUCUGGAACAUGUGCUCGAAGAAGAUGGUGGGAGGUUUUGCGACAAUGCUUAGAACCAUUAGAAGCCAUUUGUGAAGAAGUUUUUCUUGUGUGAGAGUAAUCAAUUUGGCGGUGGUGUAAGUCGGGGUCAUCGUAUAUAAAGAGAAGCAGGGGAAGCUGAAGAGUGUAUCGCCAUUUAGUUGUUAUUUUAUUGAAGAGGGAAGUUAUGGAUUUAUGGAUGUAAAUAGUGUGUCAAAGGGUAUGCGUUCCUAAACGGUGAAGAAAAGAUAAUGAAAGGUUGCAGCAAAGAUGGAAGACGUUGGUAGAGUUGCCGGUUUUGAUUGAAUGGGUUCAUAAAGGAUAUUGAACCUAAUUGUGUUGUGAGCAAGUACGUAGAUGUCAUUUGGUCUUUUAGAAUGAUGUUUGUAGCCCACAAAAAAUGUUAGUAAAAUUGAUGAUGACAUGUAAGUUUCGUUGGUUAGGAAUAUUUUGUUCUCGGUGGAUAAGCUGUAGAAAGUUUCAAUUUAGUCCCUUUUAUAUAGUAGAGAUUUCCAAAUGAUAGGUUUAUGUUUUCGGGCAUAUUAAAACAUAUAUUGAAAUAUAAUUAUAAGAAACAUUUUUAUGAGAUUAACAAUAUUUUAAAAAGUAAAUUUAUAGUAAGUCGACAAAUACAGUUUUUUCAAAAAUUAUAGUUUACAUCGAUCUUAUUGAAAUAAUUUUUUUAAUUAAAUAGAAAAUGCAAACAAAGAAAAAAAGUUCGAGAAGAAUCCUCCGCCAUAAAACCCUCUCAUAAUAAACUAUACUUUUUGGCAAGCAGAAUUUUCAUAUCCGUUUGUUAGCAAAAUGAUUUUCAUGAUAUUAUUUACGUAGUCAAAUAAUCAAACUGUUGAACUAUAUACUACCUUUCCAUCUAAAAAGGUAUUUUCAUAGCAAAAAAGAGAUUGUAAUAUUAACUGAUGAUAGUUAAAUAGUUAUUGUUUUGCCUUUAUAAAAAAAAGUUAUUGUUUUGUUAACAAAGGUAGAACUCGACUUUAUUUUGGUUAGCCCUUUUUCAACUUAAACGAAAAUUGGUUUAAACUAAUGUUACUGAUCUUUUAUACUUGAUCUGAACUUAUUUAAGAUUUGGAUAAUGUAAAAGAAUAAUUGUGGAGCUAUUAAGAACAGCGACUUCUUAAUUCUAAAUGUAUGGUAGAUAAUGGAGUUUUAUGGUUAAUUAAACUUAGCCUCGCCGCCCCACACCUAAAUGUAGCUAUCAUUUGGACCGACCCUAAUAUACUAUAUGCGUCUGUAUUUUUUCCCUUGUCCUAUGUCACGAGCUGUGUCCAUCCCCUACAAUAAUAUAGGCUGUCACUCUUUUACACAAAAAAAAAUAUAAUAUGAAUCUUAUCAUAAAGUUAUAAGUUGAAAACUUUGAGAUAGCCAGAUAAGAUUGAUUAGAGGUAAAAGUUCGGAUGAUGUCGAUAUAUUAUACCAUUCUUCAGUUGCUGCUUGUAUAUUGUAUCUACAAUCCCUCUCUAAAACGAGCAAAGUAGCUGUCGAUAAAACAAAAACUCAUAAGUUGAUUGAUCUACAUGAUGUUAUUAGUUAGUUUCAGUAAUUCUAUUUUGUAUCGCCUAAAUUCAUCUAUAUCGUAUACUUAAAGCUGUUACAACUUUUUCCGUCUAAAAAAAAAAAUUACUAAAAGAAUAAAGAAACAUAUGAAAGUCCAAACAGCCACACAAGCAGAAGCUUAACGACAAUAAAGCACCGAAAACCAAGACGUAAACAAAAGCUCAAGAUAAAGACAGAGGAACCACACAUCAGCACUUAUCUAUUUCUCGAAAUAAUUAUUUAGCCAACGAGGACAACCUUGCGCUUGCGCCACACAAGACGGUAAUCAAAGGUCUACAACAAUUUUCGCAAUCUCAUAAUUAAGCUCUUCUAUAAAUUGUAGUGAAAAUUACAGAGGCUUAUCUUUUGCGAAUCAAUAACAUUUUCUCCCUCCAUUUCACUUAAAUGGCGUUUUAAGAAUUUUCUACUUCAUUUUAAAUGAUGUUUAUAAGUUUUAUACAAAUUAAAUGUUAUUUGGUGUAUGUGACUCUUUGCAUUAUAGAAUACCCUAUCCGUUUCAAAAAUAACAUAUUUUAGAUUUUUCACACAUAUUAAAAAAACACAUUAAAACUUGAUUGUAAAUGCAUUGUUUUUGUGAAUAACAAUUUUCCAUAAUUUAUAGCCAAUAGAAAUCCAAUAAACACCAUUAAAUUUUUUGAAAUUUACAUUUUUUCAUUAAAUAAUAUAUUGAAAAAGUAAAAAAUAUUUUUUUUUGAAAUAUUUUUUUCCUAGAAUGUGGAUCUUUAUGAAACGGAUGGAAUAUAAUGUUUUAUUGGUUAAAUUAACUAUAGUUAUUGAUAUUUUUAUACAAAUGAAUUAAAUUAAAUUAAUUAAUAACUUUUUUAAUCGGUGUGAAGAUUCUAAAUGUUGUUUAUUUUGAGACGGACAGAGCAAAUAAAAGACUUUCGACGCAGGACAAAUAUAUACUGUAUCUAGUAGUCUCAACUUACUAUUUAUAAAACUGGGUGAUAGAAAAAGUCUAUUUUAGGGUUAGGUGCAUUACAUUAACAUAAUAAUUACACGGACAGGAUAAAACAAGGAACGUCCUCUAUUCAAUGGUUUUGUUUCCACUAGAACUGGACACGCAUCGGAUAUCCGAGUUUUUGAAAGUAUUUGUAAUUUGCUUCGUAUGUUACGGAUAUCUAAUUUUUCGAUUUGUUUUGCUUCGGAAAAAUAUGGAUAUUCGGAAAAACGGAUAUCCAAAAAAUAAAUAGAUAUUUGCGGAUAUUUACGAAUACUUACGGAUAUCUCAUAUGUUUUGAUUAAUACAAAUAAUUUUAAAAAUUUGUAUACAAAUUUGUUUUGUAAAAUAUUUUUUUGCAUGAUAUAUAAGAUAAAAAUUAAAAGAAGUAAUGAAGCUACAUAUUUUGUAAAUUUUUUAAACUUAGUUAACAAUUAUAAUAAGACAAAACUUAAGAAAAAAGUUAUAGUUGUCAUAAAUUUUUUCACUUCCUUUUAUGUAAUACUUUUAUAUAAGUAAUAAUGUGAAUAGAAUUUGUCAAAUCAUACGUUAGAAUAAUAAUUAUAUAAUUUAUACAUUUAAAACUUUAAAUAUAAUCAAGAUAUACAUGUAUUUAUAUAUUAUCGGAUCGGAUCGGAUAUCCGCUUCCCAAAAUUUUAAUAUUUGUGAUUUGCUUCGAUUUUAACGGAUAUUGAUUUUUAUUAUUUGCUUUGCAUCGAAAGUUUACGGAUAUCCAAAAUUUUCGGAUCGAAUCGAAACGAAUAACGAAUCAAAUCAAAUUUAACGGAUAAAAUGUUCAGUCCUAGUUUAAACAUUGUGCAAUAACUCCCUUAAUCCAUAAAACAGCAUUCUAUAGAUGUGGCUCAUUGGUUGAUUUGUGUGGUACACCACAUACUAAAUACUUGCUUAUCAUUGGUUAAACAUAUAAUCAGACUUGAAAGUUUAGUAACUAAAAUAUAUGUUAAGAUUAAACAAAAUAAAAGUGGACUAAGAUGACUUUUUCAUGAUAUCUCGAAAUGUUCACUUUUCAACUACUCAGUACUCACCAACAAGAGUUAAAAAUUCUUAUGUUUUAUAACAAAAGAAAAAACUUAUAAAGUUAUGAAUGACUUAGUCCACGACUUUAUACACACUUUUGAAAUUUAUACUAGGAUGAGAUACUAUUUAUCUAAUAAAACCUGUAUAUCGGGUGCCUUAAUCUUAUCCAUUUCAACAUAUUCGUACAAUAAUCAACGUUUUGCUUAAUUAUCGUUUUGGGUUGUCUUUUCGUAUUGUCUUAAACAAAGGUGACAUACAUAUUUAACUCAACAACGAUCUCAUAGGUUCAUAGCAAGUAGCAACCAUAGUGACAUCAAUUUCAGAGGAAAAAACAAAAUGAAAAAGGGUUGGAUUUAUUUAAUAUCAGUCGGGAGUAGUUCGUGUCAAGAUGUGUGUUCUUCAUCUCCACCUAAAUAAAAUGAAUUAUUAUAUUCGUGUUUUCUUAAGAAAGAGGUAGAUUUGCUAGUUUGGAUUAUAUUUCUUGGUUGCUGANNNNNNNNNNNNNNNNNNNNNNNNNNNNNNNNNNNNNNNNNNNNNNNNNNNNNNNNNNNNNNNNNNNNNNNNNNNNNNNNNNNNNNNNNNNNNNNNNNNNAUGAUUAUUAUUAUCUUUCACAACAUUAUAAUCAUUUAGAGUUCACAUAACGACAAUCCUUCCUUAUCUCCCCUUGGUCACCGGUGAGAGGGUUGGUCUCGGACAAGAGCCUGACACCGCGUGAGAAUUGUUCAUGGAAGUAACCAUUGUCCGCAGCCAUCUUGGCCACAAAAGGUGCCGUCCUCGGGUCGCUGGCUAGCUCAUCAUCGAUGACCAGGAGCCCUCUAUGAGCCAUGAUGUUCUUGUAAUACAUAUUGUCCACAACCAUGGGAGUCUCACGGUCAUUAAAUUUUUUGACAGAAAAUACACAAAUACAAGUAACAAAAAAUUUAACCAAACAAUAACAGGAUAAAAGAAAAAAAAGCAACACCGAACUACCAGUCGAAAAACUGAAGUCGAAGCUUAACCAAAACCGAGCAUUUCCAAAUGGUGAUGAUAUAUGUGAUGAAACAUGAGACCACGUCUUGGUAAUUUUGGCUUCCUUGCAACGCUGCUCCAAUUGAUUGGUACUACCUCCAGAAAACUUUGCAAACUCAGUCGUCGGAAACCACAUCUCCCAACUACCACCGGCAGUAGGAAACACUGAUCUCUAAGAACCACACACCUCUCCAACAAGUAACUCCAAAAGCGCUAUCUGGAAAGACCCGCCUAGACUUCAAGUAGCCACACUUAUUUGGUUCGACCUCGGAAACUAACGCGAGCCACAACAAAAAACAGGUACGGUGAGAGCCACAUUUUGAUGUCGUUCUUCCAAACCUACAACACGGACCGAAGAUCAACCCACCGAUGCGAGAAAGGGAUCUAACAGUGGUGUUGGAAUGAUCAAUCUUCACACGAGCCUCCCACGAAGAACCGUCACUCCAAUGAUCAAAAGGAGCUCCGAGUAAACUGCCUCGCGCUAACACUGAGAACCGGAGCUAGCUCCACGGAGCUCACAAUGUAUGACUGGUUAGUUGCUAACGCUAAUAUUAUGAGUCACAGUACAAGCCCCUAUAGUUUUCUAAUUAUCUUUUUAAUUGUUUGAGUAAAUCAAGGUUUAGAAAUGCCUUUCUCUGAUAUACUUUAGUAGUAUAUAUUAACUCCCAUCCUCUACCUUUUUGGCCAAAAAGAUGCACCUAAUCCCUCGUAUAGAUUAACGCCUACACACAUUAAAAUAAAACUUUUAAAUCAGUCAAAUUAAAUUCAAGAAAUAGAUACUCAAAUCAUACAACAAAGCCAACUCCACGAUAAAUUAUCCAACGAAUGAAAAGAAGUCGACCGCAUAAUAUCAAACUGUUAAGUUAAGAUAGAGUAUCACUGACCCAACAAGCACAUAUAACAGCCACUGAAAAAAGGUUAGAAAAAAAAAGUUGAAUCGGACUCCUAAAAACCGAAAAAUAUAGAUUGGAAGAAAGAUAAAUAUCGAUUAACUCAUUUUUGUUUUUUUUUAUGAUUUAGUUUUUAAUCUGUGUAUACUUUGGUGAAGUAGUACACUAGUACUACAUAUGUUAAUAGGUUAGGUAUAGUAGUUUGGGACUCUAUCCACUACUGUGUUUCUCUUGUCGGGGAUCCUAUGAAUUCCCAGUUGCCACCGCAAUAGGUAACCGAGAGUUAAAUGCAACCAUUUUUUUCAAAAAAAAAGAGAGUUAAAUGCAACCAGCCUUUUUAUUAUACUCUAUGUCAUAGUGUAUGUAAUUUGAUUUAUGAGAUUGAUAUCCCCAAAUUUUGGUCGGUCCAUGAACUGUUAUUCCAUGUGCACAUGCUGUUUUAACGCUAUUGACCUUGACAGUCCAUAUCUUAGGCUAGAUAAUCUAAUGACCACAAUGUAUGGCGUUAUUAUAGAUAACCGAUGAUUAUGGUCUAUUAAGGCAUUUUCAUCCCUAUUCCAUUUUUUCUUUUAAAAUAGAAUAAAAGUGAAUAUAGACUAAGGAAUGCUCCAACCCAACUCUAUAUCUCACUCCAUAAUGAAAUUUACUCUAUAAAUGAAGUAAUCUAUUUUUUGUCUGUUCAUCACUCCAUUAUGGAGUAGGAAAUGAAGUAGGGUUAGGGUAAUUUUACUCAAUUUUUAUUUUUACUCUAUUUUGGAGAAAAAAAUGGAGUUUUACAUUCGAGAUACUCUUAAUUACAUUGCAACUAUAAUUGUGUCAGUUAAAAUAACUGACUUUGAAUAUAUUUCCUUUUAGCAAUCACCUUGUUUAAUAUCAGUAUUUUUUUAUGGAUUGCCAUCUCAAGUGUUACUCCGAUCAGACUUCUUAUGUCAAUAAAUGGAUCAAAUAAUAAAUAUUCUUUUACUAUAGAUGACUGAACUCAGUGAACUCGGGCGCGAAUAUGAUGAAGGGUUUUGUGAAAGAACUCUCCGUACAAAAAACAAGAAGACAAUUUUCAAGAACACACAAAUGGUUUGUAAGAACAAUUCAGUUUCUUAGUUUACACGUUAGAGGAUUCAGAAACACCUUCAUACUUAUUUUUGUAGUUUAAACACGUUCAAAAAGAGAAGUUUUCACUUUUGUAGGAUAUAUAAAUUUUGGUGGGAUCAUCAAAUAGGAUCAUCAAACAGGAUCGAACAAAAACUUAUCAACGUUCUUGUUUUGCUUGAGAAACAAAACUGUGACCACAGCUUAUAUUUUCAUAUCGGUUUCAAUCACAAUAGUAGUUCUUAAAUCUUAACUACAUUACAUCAAUUUUAAAUGGACUCUGCCUAUACAAACAAAAAACAUGCUAUUAUGAUUAAUAUCAUGCCACUUUAGCAACUAUUCUUUUUUUCUAUCAAACCUUAAUCUAAAUAAAGCUUAGCAGUUAGCCCCUAACCUUAAAAAAAAGUUGUUCACCAAAGUAGCCGCACUGGCUAAAGCACCCACACCAUCAAAAGCAAAAUGGGAAAAAUGGAAAAUAAACACAACCGAUAUAAACAUACAUAACACCAAAGCGACUUAAGAUAGAAACACAACAAGUGUAGAACAAUUCAGAUGAACUGAUGAAGCCAUAGAAAUCAGAGGACACAUUCGCUGAACUACUGCCAAACAUGUGCCGCAUCAACAAAUACAUUAAAAUCAAGAAAUUUAGCUACAGAGGUGGUCACGUACUAUUAGAUCGGUACGUAUGGCUAAAAAGUAAUGGUAUUUUUUCUACUUAUUUUGCAACCGAUAUUUUGUUAUUAUUAAUGAUCUGAUGCUACUAUUUUUCACUAAUCCAUAGUUACUACAUGACAACGUAAAACUCGGUUGCUAUUACACAACGUUAUCUAUAAUUUAUUUUUUAUAUGAAAAAUUUCCUAUGAUAGCAUUUUAAAAUUUUUAUCACAAAAAUUGAUUUCAAUGAAAAAUGAUUAAAAUAAGUUUUAUUAAAAAAUAAAAAAAUAUAUUUAUACCAUAGAGUUAACUAAUCUAGAUUUAUGGUUCAUAGUUAAGAAGUGAGGCUUUGAAGAUAGAGUUUCAAAUUUUAUAAAAUAAAAUUAAUAUUAAAAUUUUCAAAAUAAAAAAGCUAUUUUAAUCAUUUUCUUUAUUGAAAACUAUUUUUAUGACAAAAACUUAAAAAUAACUAUCUGAGAGAAUUGUUUUUUUUUUAUAUUCCUAAACAUUAAUUAAAAUUAGUUUUUUUCGCAUUUGUUUUUACAUUUGAGAGAUUUUUACUGAUAGAAAAAAAAAUCCAUAAUACUAUUUGUAUCGUUUAAAAUUAUAUUUGUUAAGUAUUAAAAACAUCUUUCCAUUUCAAAAAUAUUACUUUAACCUUUUGCCAUAGAUGAGGAAUAGUUAAACUUUAUUUAUUUUUAAUAACUACAUUUAUUUAACUAAUAAUCUUUAAAAUAAAUAAAUGAUUUAUAAAAUUAAAAUAUUUUCCAAUUAAUAAUAUUAAAAUAAAUAUAUCAUAGUUGUAUUGAAAAUUUUAAAAUGAUUUGUUUUAUAACAAAAAAAAUAUAUAUAUAAAACAAAAAAAAUAUAAAAAUUACAUUUUCUUUAAAAUAGCACUAUAUUUUUUUAAUAUAUAUAUAAAUUGCCUUAAGACGUUUGUUAACUUAAACAUGAUGCAGAUGGAGAUCAAGUUGGAGAAAUCCUAUAUUUUUUGCGGCGGAAAAACGCGAGGGAGACACAAGAACCAUCUUCACCAGAAGUGACUUGCAUCAUGGGUCAAGCGAGGAUAAACCGGUCAAAUAAACCCAAACCGGAAGCUAAUCGGUCGGCCAAAGAUGUAACGGAAAGCCACGAACGUCCGAGACGGUUUGCGUGGAACACCCCUUCUCCGGGAAACUCAAACCGAGUUGGUUCAGCCCCGUUUGGCGCAAAUGGAGAAAAUCAGAGAAGCGAUCAUCAAGCUGGCCGGAACUUCCUCCAGAGAUCAUGAGGGAAAUUCUGAUCAGGCUGCCGAUCAAAUCGAUCGGGAGAUCCAGGUGCGUCUCAAAGCUGUUCCGCUCCCUCUCAUCAGAUCCAGGCUUCGCAAAAAGCCAGCUCGAUCUGAUGACCGCUCACCGGAAACUCAUCGUGUCUUCACACAACGGUAACAUGUAUGCAUUAGACUUGAACGAAGUAACUCGAGAUUCGAUACCUGUGGACCUCAGUUAUCCGCUUAAAGACGAACUACCAUUUCGAAGAGACUGUGUUGAAAUCUACGGAUCAUCCAACGGUUUAGUGUGUGUAUGAAGACGUUGUUCUCUUGUAUAACCCAACCACCAGAGAAUCAAAGCUGUUACCUGCUGAGAGCACUGAGACUGUCAAAAGAUACAGAGAAAAGUUCAUAUCCUAUGGAUUUGGCUUCGAUCAUCUCACCAAUGAUUACAAAGUAGUGAAGCUUGUCGCUGAUUCUAACAAUCUUCUCUACGCUUGCGUCUACUCUUUGAAGUCAAGACUCGUGGAGAUGGAUCCGCGAUUUGAGCUACCAACACAUCGACCGCUUCUGUUUCAACUGCUUCCCUCCCGGUCUGAAUCUCAACGGUGUGAUCCACUGGGUGUUCACUCUUCAACAAGGCAGUCGCAAGCGGAAAGUGAUAUUAGCAUUUGAUAUUAUAACGGAAGAGUUUGGAGAGAUGCCAUAUCCUACCGAAGCUAGGAGUUGUCCAUAUCGUUUCAUGGUAGGGAAUCUCAACGAGCGUCUUUGUUUGUUCACUAGUUGCUACGAGUUACAUGAUGAUAUUUGGGUGAUGAAUGAGUUGGGUGUAUGGCGCAGAAUCCGGAUCAGCGUGUUCUACAGGUUUAUGAAACCGGUGUGUUCGACCAAGAACAGCGAGGAGGAGGUUCUGAUGGUGUUUGAUGGAGUCAUGGUGUUGUACAAUUUUGAGACCCAUGCAAGGAGGAGACUGGAAAUUCAAGGGGAAAACCUCUGUGAGGGGUUCGAUGUCAAUUCGUACGUAGAGAGCCUCAUAUCACCAAACUCGCAUGGUCUUGACAACUGAAGAAAGCACUUUGAUUUUAAGUUAUAGAUUAAUAAGACUGGGCACAGACAGUCUACUCGUCUCGUUAGUUUGUUUUAUAUUUGGAUCGACUGUAGGUCUGUAGCCCUUUUUCUCACACAUAUAUAUUGAUAUUAGUUUGACAAUUUUAGAUCUGGUCAAAAUAAAUAGGUAUAGAGACCUUGAUGCGCUGACGCAGAAUGCAGAAUUUUGUUCAGCAAAGUAUUUUAUCUCAUACAAACCUUGCAAAAAAAUAUUAUUAUUAUAUAUAUACGCAAUUUUUUAUAGAUAUCUAGAACCUCAUUGAUCAUAUGAAUCUAUGCCAACACCUUGCUCUAAUGUGAGAAAUACUCUCAAGGCAUUCACCAAUUCUAAGUGACCUUCUUUAUUGAGUACUGACAGAUUCAAGUUCGUGAAACAGUCAGUGGAGACUGUUUUUGACGACUCGCCCAAGAUAUUCGGAGUUUGUUCUAAUGAAAACAUGUUUAUCUUUGUUUUUGUCUCUUUUUCCAUAAAAUUCUGUUGUUGUCUUGAUUAGGCUCACGUUAGUCUCUUCUAGUGUUGUCAAAGAGAUGACAUAUACUCGUAGACAGUAUGUCAAUCCAUACUAACGUAUCUUCACACAAAAAUCCAGCAUCCCUUUGUAAAGAGAAAGUGAGAAACAAUUGUAAAUUCUUUUUUAUUUUUCCCACCAAAUUAGUAAGUUCCUCGCGGACCUUAGAUAGGCCGAGAUCUUAAUGGGCUUAAAAAUAUUUCUUAAAUCAUAAAAGAUAAUAAUACUCACGAAGGUGUGUCUUUUGACCAUUUCUAAUUCAAAUUACUUAACGCGUAGAACGGGACGCGUAAUAAGAGUCUAUUUUCUCUUCUUCUCUUUCAGAUCUUAAAGGUUUCUUGCUAAAUAUGGCGGGAGAAGACAACAACCGCGAAGCUCAACGAGGCGACGACCAUGAGGAAUCGAGUCCUCUCUUGCAAGUGAACGACACCAAGAUCAACUCGAAAGGGGACAAAAAGACGGCGCCGAUUGUGCAUCCUCCCGCGGUGGAGGAAUACGGCUGGACGGCGGAUGGAUUGCCGGUGACCGACGGCAGCGUGAUCGGCGAGCCGAUCGGGAGAAACCAGUGGAACUCCGGUCUGUUCUCCUGUUUCGGACGGAACGAUGAAUUCUGCAGCAGCGAUCUCGAAGUUUGUGAGUGUUUUCUUGUCUGCUUUCUAAAAUUAGGGUUUUUGAAAUUGGGGGAAUUUUGAAAUUGAUUGAAAUUGGAAGUGAUCUGAUUGUAAUUUGUUGAAAGAGUCCAUCUUUUGAAAUGGGUCGAUCGAAAUUGAUUGAAAUUGGAAAUGAUCUGAUUGUGAUUUGUUGAAAGAGUCAAUCUUUAGAUCGUUCAGCUUAAAUAUGGGUCUUGAAGGUUAAGCUUAAUAGGCAAUCGAGAGAAGAAACCUCAAGAUGCGAUGUUAUGUGGCUUUGAUGAAACUUUUAGUGAUGAUGAUGGUAAUGGCUUUCUUUUGUUAGGUCUUCUUGGAAGUGUGGCUCCAUGUGUGCUUUAUGGAACUAAUGCAGAGAGGCUUGGGUCUGCCCCAGGAACCUUUUCGAACCACUGCUUGACGUAUUCAGGGUUGUACUUUAUUGGGAACUCUUUGUUUGGGUGGAACUGCCUUGCUCCAUGGUUCUCUUAUUCCAGCCGUUCUGCCAUUCGCCGCAAGUUUAACCUUGAGGUAUUUUUUUCUCUGUUUUCUUUCAUUUGGAAACAGACAAGUGAAUUUGAGAGAAAAAAAAAGGUUGUCCUUUGAGAAGAGAUUGAUCAACUCACGUCUUUGUAUAUGUUCUUGAUUGCUUGGAUGAUGACGAGUAGGGACCUAGCCCCAAGAGAUUCUAGUUUGUGUACCAUCGUCGCCUGGUUUCGUCAGAGUCCCUCUAGUGGCUCUAGUUACAAAGGGCUGUCUAUUAGCCUUCUAGUGGCUCUAGUUACAAAGGGCUGUCUAUUAGCCUUUAGGAUAGUCUCAUUUUGCACCUUUUUUGUUUUGUCUUCCCAUUAUCGUUUCUUCUAAUGAGAAAUUGCAUCUCCUGAACCUAUCUUUUGUUUUCUUUUUUUGGGUAAAAAACAGGGAAGCUUUGAGGCAAUGAACAGGUCGUGUGGCUGCUGCGGAAGCUGCAUAGAGGACGAGAUGCAAAGGGAGCAUAUGGAGACGACUUGUGACUUUGUGACACACGUCCUUUGCCAUACAUGUGCCCUUUGCCAAGAAGGCCGUGAGCUCCGCAGGAAGGUUCUUCACCCUGGUUUCAACGCUCAGUCUACCGUGGUGGUGCUCCCACCAAGUGAACAAACCAUGGGCCGUAAGUGAGUCCAGUGGUCUGAAUAGCACUUGUUACAUAUAUAAACAAGUGUCUUUGUGUGGAACACGAACUAUCAUGUUGUCUCUUGCUUACUUUUUUGAAUAAACUCCUUCUACGUCUGUAAUUUGUCGCGUGUAAAGAUCUUUUCUUCUACGCACUCAAACAUAUGUAUACCUUUAUUGUUAAUGGUAUGUAAUAUUCAUUUGUUUCACAACUCGUAAGGUGUUAACAUAGGGGUAACCGGAUUGGUUUAACGUAACCGAGUUUCGAGCAAAGCUUUUCAAUCGAGGAAACACAUUUUACUCUAUUAAUAAAGUUGGGAUUAUAAAAGGAAACACAUUUUACUCUAUUAAUAAAGUUGGGAUUAUAAAAUUUUAAAAUUUAGAGUUAUUAAUUUGCAAAAAAGUCAUUUUUUACAUUUCUCUACUUUUAGAGUAUAUUUUUUUUAUAAAAUAAGAAAAUAGUUAACUUUGUCUUAGAUAUAUUAAUUUAUAUUUAAAAAUUCGGUGUUUAUAUUUCGGUUUUUGGUUCUACUAUAUGGUGUAUACGAUAUAUGUUUCAUAGAAUUUAAAUGUAAUUUUAGAUAUAAUUUUACUAAAUAUUAUUAAAAAUAUAUUGAAGUGUAGAAAUAUAUAUGGUUUCAUUGUGAAUUUAAAACAAAUCUAUAUUGUUAUUUGUAAAAUAACUUUUCGCAACUCGAAUUCUCACGUUAAAAAUUAGAGCAAUUAAUAUCAUUUAUACUCUUAAUGAAUAAAAUAUAUAUUAGCUUAAAAAAUAAAAUGAAUUUAAAAUUUAUUUGAUUAGAUAAGUGGUUUAAAUUAUUAAUAAUAAAAAAUUAUCCAAAAUAUAAUAUAUUUUAAAAUAAAAAGAUAAUUCAUAUAUAUAUAUAUAUAUUGUGUAGUUAUCCGCAAAAUAUUUUUGAUAAAAAAAAUUCUUAAAAAAACUAAAAAACCGGAAACAGAUAACUAAAUAUUAAUCAAGCACAAAUUUUAUUUUUAUAUAAUUGAAAAUAGAAUAUUGAGUGAUUUCUAAUAUUUAUUAAUAAUAAAUAAAUGCAUAACGAAAUUUUCAAAAAAAUUAUAGUAUGUAAGAAUUUUCAAAUGAAAAUAUAAAUAAUAAUUUAUCCUUGUAAUCUUUUAAUUAGUAAUGUAUGUAUUAAUAAGUAAUUAUUACAUGCUCAUGUUUGCAUGCAAAGGGGAAACAUCUAGUGAUACAACGCUUUGUUUGUACUUAUAUAAACCUCAUAUACAUAUUAUUAAUUUAUGAUUUUAGCUAGACUAUAUAUAAAUAUGAUUUUCUAAAAAAUGAUUAUCUUAUUAUUUUAUUGAUUUGUAUCAUACUUUUAACUAGCACAACUCAAAACUGAAGAAAUUUAUUAAUUUAUUGUGUUUAUUAAUUAAUUUAGUAUUAAUUUUUAGAGCUUCUAUUGAAUGGACAAACAAAAUGUAGAGUAUCUCCUGGGGAUUUUAACCCGUUUAUACAAAUGUUUUGAAAACCAUACCAGACAUUGACUUGGUAUGGUGACUGAGUCAAUGGUUGGACCGGUCUAACCGGUUCAAUCGGGUUUUAUUUUAUUUAAUUUAAAAUAUAAAUUUAAAGUUAUAUAAUUAAUUUAUAUACUUUUAACUUGUACUAUAAUUGUGAAAAUAAUAUAAAAUAUUGUAAACUAAUAUAAUUAGAUAAUAUAAUAAGUUAAUUGUAUACCGGUUUAUUGUAAAUUGUAUAAUUGUUUUUUAUUUUUACUUCAGUUUUUUUAAACCGGAUUUUGAUAUUGAACUGGUUUACCGGUUUUAUCGAUUUUUGCCGGUUUUAACUGGUUUUAGAGGUUUAAUUCAAAUCCGGUUUUUAUAGUAACCCGUAACUGGCAAUAUAAAUGAGUCACAGUUCAACCAAUUUGACCAGCUGGUCUGAUCCGGUUUUCAAAACACUAAUUUAUACCCAUUGCAAUUAACUCUACUGAGCCUACCCAAACCCUUAGGGGUCAUUUUAAAAAAUAUAGUGUGAUAUUACAUUGAGGAGAGGACAUUUUAAUAUAGGCCAAUUAGCGUGUUUAGUAGCAGGUUGAUCUAAUUGCAGAGAUUAUAGAUGUGACUUAGAUUUUAGAGUUGCUGAUUUUAUAAAUGAAAAUAUUUGUUAACUUUGCAUAGAAUUAUAUUAUAUUAAUAUAGAACUAGAUUCUAACCCGCCCUUGAAAGGGCGGGUAAAUUUCUGUUUUAUAUAUUUUUUAGAAAUUUAAUUUUCAUAUAUGUGUUUUUCUUUUGUAAUCAUAUUUGUGUAAAAUAUUUUUUAAAAAUUAUUAGUAAGAAAUUUUAAUAAUUGUAUUGAAUUGUGAUGUUGCGUAUCUAUACACUUAUGCCAUAGACGAUUUAGAUACAAGUAAUAUUUUCAUACCCGAUCUAGAUCCACAGUUGAACCGAUAAACCUUGUUGUAAAAUCCAAAGCGUUUUUGUUGAUUUUUAUGCUUAAAUCUUUCUGUUUUCAUUUUCUACAUGUUUAUUUAUUCAUAUUGAUUAACACAUAAAUUUGAAGGAAGAUUUCUUACUCCUUAGUGAUGAACAUAAAGUCUAAGUCACACUCUUCUUAAUUCGUAUGGAGUCAUUCGGAUUUUCAGAGUAAGCUAUAUUCGUGAAUCUGUUUUGAUAUAGAUUGAUGUGGUUGAUUAUUUUGACUCAUCAACCAAGUUGUGGGUUUAUGUUUUUAGGUUUCAUUAGAAACUCUAAUUCUUCACAAACAUGUACUUGAAAAUUACGGUGGGCCUCUUUUCUCCUUUUUUGUUCAUUCGCUGAGUAACUUUUUACAGUGUUACGAUGAUAAUUUAUUAACCAGUAGAUGAAGCUUAACUGGGUUUUCAUUAGAAACCCUGAUUCUUGAUAAACAUGUGAUGGAAUUUAUAUUUGUGUAAAAAUUUUGUCAAAAAAUCGAAUUGGUUAUGGCAGAAAAGGUGAAAUGGUUUGUAUCGUAACCGUUUUCUUUAAAGAGAAAUAUAAUGUGGUUAAUGUUUAAAUAUAAUUAGACAUAGUUAUAUAAAAUCAGUUUUAAAAAAAAAAUUGGACCAAACAUUUAUCAAUUGGGCAUGUUGCUAAUUUAAUAGUAUUGAUUUCGUUAGUAUUGAUUUCGUUAAGUUUGUAGAGAAUUUGUAUAUUUAGAAACUCCAUCAAAUUUAUAUUAUAAUAUCACUACCGUUUGGUUCUCACGUCACGUAGCAAGGUACUUCAUAGCAAAAGUUUCCACUAGAGGUUCAUCAUAGCAAUUAUCCUACAAUUUUAUUCUUCGAGAUUCAGUCAUAUUCUUUAAUCAUAUAUGCAUUAUCUCGUAUUAAUUGCAUUAGAUCCCUUGUAAUAAUAGUUGGAUUAAGUAGUGAUUAAUUUGACCCUGUGAGUUUACUUUACAAGUGAUAUGACUUCUUUAACUUGGUUUUUAUACAUGAGUUCACGAUAAGAGGUCAAGAUCUAUACCUUUCUACUACCAUUAAUGAUAUUUGGCAUUUCUUAUACAAAUAAUUAAACAAGUCUACAGUUUAUCCUUGCUCUAGUUUGUCCUUGCUCGCUUCGGUCUUUAGUCUGGACCGUUUCGGUGGGACCAGGAUACUCGGUUAUAAAAAAAAAAUCUAUAGUUUGACCCCAAAAAAAACUAAACAAGUCUAUUAAUUAGACAGCAAAUGAGACUACCCAAAUUAUUUGCCGAUAAUUUAAUAGAAACUAAGAAUACAAAUUCUUAUAAUAAUGUAAAUGAUUGUAAAGAGAGAUGUGACACAUGGAGAAAUACCCAACUGGUUUGGCUUCUCACAACUAAACAAACACGAUGAUGAUGAUUUGGCUUGUGGCGUCAACAAGUUGAUAAAUAAUAGUUAACUAGGAUAAGACCUGCGUCUUGCGCAGGGUGAGUUUAUUUGUAUAUAUUAUCGAUAGUUUUUUUAUAGAUUUGAUCAUUUUAUUGGUAUAUAUAAAAUAUUUUUUGUUUUUUGUUGUUAUUAUAUAAUUUCUUUCCGAUAGAUCGGAUCAAUUUUUAUUAAAAAGAACGGAACAAAACUAUAAUUAAUACAUCAUGGGUUGAUCGGAUUAGACAUUAAACAAAUUAUGACAUAAAAACCUUAUUUUUUCCAUCGAACACAUUCUUGAAAAAAGUGAACAAUAUUGUUUUCACAGUUAAAUUAUUUUGACUUUUAUCUUCCAUAUGGUUUUGAAAGUUUUCAAAUCAACCAUCGAAUUAAUACAUGUCAUUUUAAUAUUUUUAGUCGUAUACUUAAGGAAAACUUACAUUUUUGUAAUUUAAAGUCGUUUUAAAAAAUUCAAAAUAUAACAUAUAAGAAAAAAUAUAACAUAUAAGGUGUCCUCAUUUUUGUAUUUUAAAGUCGUUUUAAGAAAAAAAUAUAACAUAUAAGGUUUCCUCAUUUUUGUAAUUUAAAGUCAUUUUAAAAAAUUCAAAAUAUAAAAUAUAAGAAAAAAUCUAUUUUUUUUAAUUAUAUGGUUAAUGUGAUUGUUUGUUUUUUUAAUAAUAUAAAAUUAAACAAAAUGAAGAAGGAUGCAAAAAUUGUUAUCAAAUCUUUAUUAUUCAUAAUCAUUAAUUGUCAUAUAUAUGUAAAUCAUAUUAGGUAAUUUCGUAGCUUUUAUUUAGAGAAAGAAUACACACUUUUUAUAUUUUAGGUUAAUAUAAUGUUCUAUAGUGGACAUUAAACAAAUUAUGACAUAAAAACCUUAUUUUUCUCUCGAACACAUUCUUGAAAAAGUGAACAUUAUUGUUUUCACAGUUGAAUUAUUUUGACUUUUAUCUUACAUAUGGUUUUGAAAGCUUUCAAAUCAACCAUCGAACUGAUACAUGUCAUUUUAAUGUUUUUAUUCAUAUACUUAAGGAAAACUUGCAUUUUUAUAAUUUAAAGUCGUUUUAAAAAAUUCAAAAUAUAACAUAUAAGAAAAAAUAUAACAUAUAAGAAAAAUAUAACAUAUAAUGUGUCCUCAUUUUUGUAUUUUAAAGUCGUUUAAAAAAUAUAUAUAACAUAUAAAGUUUCCUCAUUUUUGUAAUUUAAAAUUAUUUUAAAAAAUUCAAAAUAUAACAUAUAAGAAAACAUAUAUUUUUAUAUUAUAUGGUUAAUGUGAUUGUUUAUUUUUUUAAAAAAAAAUAUAAAAUUAAACAAAAAUGAAGAAGGAUGCAAAAAUUGUUAUCAAAUCUUUAUUAUUCAUAAUCAUUAAUUGUCAUAUAUAUGUAAAUCAUAUUAGGUAAUUCUGUAGCUUUUAUUUAAGGAAAGAAUACACACUUCUUAUAUUUUAGGUUAAUAUAAUGUUCUCUAGUGGACAUUAAACAAAUUAUGACAUAAAAACCUUAUUUUUUUCAUCGAACACAUUCUUGAAAAAAGUGAACAGUAUUGUUUUCACAGUUGAAUUAUUUUGACUUUUAUCUUCCAUAUGGUUUUGAAAGCUUUCAAAUCAACCAUCGAAUUGAUACAUGUCAUUUUAAUGUUUUUAGUCGUUUACUUAAGGAAAACUUACAUUUUUGUAAUUUAAAGUCGUUUUAAAAAAAUUCAAAAUAUAACAUAUAAGAAAAUUCUAACAUAUAAGAAAAAUAUAACAUAUAAGGUGUCCUCAUUUUUGUAUUUUAAAGUCGUUUAAAAAAAAAAUAUAACAUAUAAGGUUUCCUCAUUUUUGUAAUUUAAAGUCAUUUUAAAAAAUUCAAAAUAUAACAUAUAAGAAAAAAUCUAAUUUUUUUUUUAUAUGGUUAAUGUGAUUGUUUAAUUUUUUUAAUAAUAUAAAUUUAAACAAAAAUGAAGAAGGAUGCAAAAAUUGUUAUCAAAUCUUUAUUAUUCAUAAUCAUUAAUUGCCAUAUAUAUGUAAAUCAUAUUAGGUAAUUUCGUAGCUUUUAUUUAGGGAAAGAAUACACACUUCUUAUAUUUUAGGUUAAUAUAAUGUUCUCUAGUGGACAUUAAACAAAUUAUGACAUAAAAACCUUAUUUUUUCCCUCGAACACAUUCUUGAAAAAGUGAACAGUAUUGUUUUCACAGUUGAAUUAUUUUGAUUUUUAACUUACAUAUGGUUUUGAAAGCUUUCAAAUCAACCAUCGAACUGAUACAUGUCAUUUUAAUGUUUUUAGUCGUAUACUUAAGGAAAACUUACAUUUUUGUAAUUUAAAGUCGUUUUAAAAAAUUCAAAAUAUAACAUAUAAGAAAAAAUCUAAUUUUUUUAUUAUAUGGUUAAUGUGAUUGUUUAAGUUUUUUUAAUAAUAUUAAUUUAAACAAAAAUGAAGAAAGAUGCAAAAAUUGUUAUCAAAUCUUUAUUAUUCAUAAUCAUUAAUUGCCAUAUAUAUAUCAUAUUAGGUAAUUCCGUAGCUUUUAUUUAAGGAAAUAAUAUACACUUCCUAUAUUUUAGGUUAAUAUAAUGUUCUCUAGUGUUAUAUAAUUAUGGAAUAAUGUGACACCGUUAGAUUAAACUAUACUUUAUAUUAGAUGUUAUAGAAUUCUUUGAAAUAGAAUUUAGAAGGUUUAGAGUGCCACCUAGGAUUUGGGUUUUUUUUUAAUUAAUACAAAAUGAAGGUUCUAAUUUUUCAAAUGAUUCUCAAUUAAUAUAUAGGGGAUUAUUUUCCCCAAGUUGACCACUAUUUUUUUGUAAGAUACUUUGUUUAAAUGGUAGACAUUGUAGUUAGAAAAUCUCAAAAUUGUUAAAUUUCAAAAACUGGAAAUCAGAACCAAUUGAUAAAUUAGUAAUUAGAAAUUAAUAAAUUGAGCUAUGUUUUUAAUCUUUGAUAUAUUAUUCUAGAUCUCGUCGUAUGUUUGAUGUUAGACUUUUAACAUGUUUUGUAAAAAUGGUCAUUAGUUCUGUUUAGUCUCCAAUUUGAUAGCAUUGUAUGAUUUGAUAACAUAUCUUACUUAGAUGUCAAUUACUGGAAGAUGAUAUCAUGUUAAGUUCUAAGAACUUUACCAUAUAUAUCAAUAAAUCAUCAUACUUUCGACGUUGAGUUCUUAACAAAUUUUGUAUCUACGUACCUAUCAUAAUGAUGUAAAUUAAUGAUCUAGUUUUAGAUGAUUUUAAAUCACUCCCGAAUACAAACAAAUGAUUAAAAAUGAUUUUUAAAAACUCAUCUAACACACAAAUGAUUGGAAAAAAAAACUCAUCGGACCUUUAGACGACUUUAUUAUAUCUCAAUCCAUAACGAUUUGAUAUUUCUUCUUAUUGAUUUCAAACCAUUAACAUACAUAGUUACAUACAUACAUACAUUCAUACACACGCAUAUGAUUAUUAUUAUCUUUCACAACAUUAUAAUCAUUUAGAGUUCACAUAACGACAAUCCUUCCUUAUCUCCCCUUGGUCACCGGUGAGAGGGUUGGUCUCGGACAAGAGCCUGACACCGCGUGAGAAUUGUUCAUGGAAGUAACCAUUGUCCGCAGCCAUCUUGGCCACAAAAGGUGCCGUCCUCGGGUCGCUGGCUAGCUCAUCAUCGAUGACCAGGAGCCCUCUAUGAGCCAUGAUGUUCUUGUAAUACAUAUUGUCCACAACCAUGGGAGUCUCACGGUCAUUACGGGAAUAUAAGACUGCGUUCGGGUCCGGGUUUGGACUUGGGCAACGAUUUUUCAAGUAAAGGGCGUAAUCUGGGUCUAGAGUCGGGUCAAUCGUUGGGUAUAGCCGGUGCACUAGAUUAACGCAAUGGACCCUACCAACGGAGUGAGCACCUACGAUAAUAUAAGUUGACUGAUGAGUAAUAGUGACAGUCAUUUUUUGUAAAACUCAUUUCUUUUCUAAAAUCGUGAAAAAAACAAAAACCAAAAUAUUAAUCCUGGUAGUGUUAGUUACCAUGCCCUGAAAAGUUUGUGUUGUUUUAUUCACAUAGCAAUAGCUUGACAUUUUACAAAGAUUAUAUUCUAAUCAGAUAAUGACUUAAACUAAUUACAUCAUUAUCUCAUUCUAAAUAGUAGUUCUCCAAAUCUAUUGGUCUGUGCAGCUAAAAGAUGGUUACUACUCAGAUUUGCUAUAAGGAAUUAAAAGUUGUUACCUAAUAGAGCAACGGUGGCUUCAACAUCGAUGCCCAUGGAGUUAAAGUUUGAGAGAACGGAGGAGAGGGAGUCAUUGUGGUUAGGAACUAGAGUCUCAACAUCACUCAAGUAGCUUCCUCUACUGUCUCUCCUUCCUGUCUUGAUCAUAUCUAUCUUUGGCCCUUUCAACUAUUCAUUUCAACAAAAAAAAAACAGCACCACAAUUAUAAAAACAAUUCCAAACUAAUUUAACCUUAAAAUGCAUAUAGGUAAUAUAUCUAUAAUUACCAUGACAAUACCAUCUCUAGCAGAGAGAGCAACAAUAUCAGCGCAAGAGACUGUGGAAGGACAUUCUUUCUCAAGUGCGUCUUUGAUAACCUUAACGUACUUAAAGUUUCUCAUACCAAAACUCCUCGUUGACUUUUGCUCAGACUCCACACCUCUCGCUGUCUCUAGUAGCAGUGACGCAUCACACGACUACAAAGAGAAGACAUGAACAUAAAUAAAUCGUGUUUUGAUAUUAUAUUAUGAGUAGAUAAAACAGUUAACUACCUUGACGACGCAGUCAUGGAAGAGAUUACGGAGCCAAGAUACGGCUGUGUUACCGUGUUUGUAGUAAAGCGUCUCCACUUGUUGUCUGAUUAUCUCUUCCGCUCUAGGACAACUCUCUCUGUAAUAAUUCAUCUCCAGUUCCGCAUUCCCUACAAUUUUAUCAAAAAUCUAUAAAUGAUUCGUUUUCUCUACAUGCGUGUUAGCGAUUCUAUCAUUAUAAAAAGAAAAUAUUUGUUGAGUUUUUACGGUGGAAAUUAAAUGACUAAAAAAAUGUGAUAUUUGAGAGGCUUUUUUUUGAACCACAGAGAGGCAUAAUGUAAUUAGAGCAAUGAGGAAUAUUAUUACCGAUAUGGAAGAUGGAAAAUAACUGUAAUAACAGACAAAAGAAGGCCAAAAGACAGAAGGGCAUCUUCGCAUUCGCCAUCUCUCUCUCUCUCUUUUCUUUUUCUACUUUGUUGAUUGGUGUGUCUCUUUAUGUGUACCAAAGUAGGGUUAUAUAGAGAGAGUUCAAGGGACUUGAGUGUAUCUGUGACAAAAAAAAGGGACUUGAGUGUAUUAUAUAAUUAUCUUUAUUUAUUAGCCAUAGUGGUUGCCCAUAUUAAUUAUUCACUUUUUGUAAUCAUCGGUUGUUUCUUAAUUAUAAAUUAUAAACACAUAUUAAUACUGAAAUUUAUAACCACUAGCUACGUGAACUCAAUAGUUGUUGAACAUGUGAAUUCAGUGAGACUUGAUUUCCUUUUUCUUUUCUUUUUUUGUCACAAUGAGACUUGAUUUCCUAUUUUAUCCUAUAAUCAUACAAAACUAAUUAGUUUGGCUUUUCACUUUUGUUCUAUUAUAAUACAAAACUGUCCUUUUCCUCUACUUAAUUUUUUCAACCUUCAUUUAUUAAUUAGCCAUCCCCAUACAACUCCAUGCUCCACAAGCAAAGCAGAUAGAAAAGGAGGAGAUAUAAUAUGAAUUACGUACUAACUAAUUGAUUGAAUCGGAUUGAAAAAAAUAGAAUAUUUACAUUAUUUUUAAAUGCUUGCGAUGAAUAUGAAUAUUGCACAUCAACGUCUAGAAUAUGACCAACUCUAUUAACUUACAACCCAGGCUUACAACCAUGCUAAUCCCUAGGUAUAUACUAUAUGCUAUAUAUAGCCUAUUAUAUUAAAUUCGAAAGUUCAUUCACUAAUAAAAAGUUCUUGUUACCCUUCACUGCAUAAAGCUUGUACGACCAUUUUUUAUAGAUUCUCACAGCUUACUGACAUUUUACCUUCCAUGUGAAAUAUAUUACCUAGUUGGAUUCAUAGUUCUCUUUAGAAACUUAUUGCUUCGUUUCUGCAGUUGUAACAAAAGUAGAACGAGAGAAAUGGACUAGCUAGUCACAAGUAUGUAUAUGCAUGGCCCAUUAAUGUACUGCAUCAUGGCAAAAUUAUUGGAUACAUAUUAUAUAAAAAUCUCUAAAGAUAGCCACUCUCCAGUUCCGCAUUCCCUACAAUUUUAUCAAAAAUCUAUAAAUGAUUCGUUUUCUCUACAUGCGUGUUAGCGAUUCUAUCAUUAUAAAAAGAAAAUAUUUGUUGAGUUUUUACGGUGGAAAUUAAAUGACUAAAAAAAUGUGAUAUUUGAGAGGCUUUUUUUUGAACCACAGAGAGGCAUAAUGUAAUUAGAGCAAUGAGGAAUAUUAUUACCGAUAUGGAAGAUGGAAAAUAACUGUAAUAACAGACAAAAGAAGGCCAAAAGACAGAAGGGCAUCUUCGCAUUCGCCAUCUCUCUCUCUCUCUUUUCUUUUUCUACUUUGUUGAUUGGUGUGUCUCUUUAUGUGUACCAAAGUAGGGUUAUAUAGAGAGAGUUCAAGGGACUUGAGUGUAUCUGUGACAAAAAAAAGGGACUUGAGUGUAUUAUAUAAUUAUCUUUAUUUAUUAGCCAUAGUGGUUGCCCAUAUUAAUUAUUCACUUUUUGUAAUCAUCGGUUGUUUCUUAAUUAUAAAUUAUAAACACAUAUUAAUACUGAAAUUUAUAACCACUAGCUACGUGAACUCAAUAGUUGUUGAACAUGUGAAUUCAGUGAGACUUGAUUUCCUUUUUCUUUUCUUUUUUUGUCACAAUGAGACUUGAUUUCCUAUUUUAUCCUAUAAUCAUACAAAACUAAUUAGUUUGGCUUUUCACUUUUGUUCUAUUAUAAUACAAAACUGUCCUUUUCCUCUACUUAAUUUUUUCAACCUUCAUUUAUUAAUUAGCCAUCCCCAUACAACUCCAUGCUCCACAAGCAAAGCAGAUAGAAAAGGAGGAGAUAUAAUAUGAAUUACGUACUAACUAAUUGAUUGAAUCGGAUUGAAAAAAAAAAUAGAAUAUUUACAUUAUUUUUUAAUGCUUGCGAUGAAUAUGAAUAUUGCACAUCACCGUCUAGAAUAUGACCAACUCUAUUAACUUACAACCAUGCUAAUCCCUAGGUGUAUACUAUAUGCUAUAUAUAGCCUAUUAUGUUAAAUUCGAAAGUUCAUUCACUAAUAAAAAAUUCUUGUUACCCUUCACUGCAAAAGCUUGUACGACCAUUUUUAUAGAUCCUCACAGCUUACUGACAUUUUACCUUCCAUGCGAAAUGUCAUUACCUAGUUGGAUUCAUAGUUCUCUUUAGAAACUUAUUGCUUCGUUUCUGCAGUUGUAACAAAAGUAGAACGAGAGAAAUGGACUAGCUAGUCACAAGUAUGUAUAUGCAUGGCCCAUUAAUGUACUGCAUCAUGGCAAAAUUAUUGGAUACAUAUUAUAUAAAAAUCUCUAAAGAUAGCCACAAAUAUAAAAUUUUAAUUAUCUGUAACCAUUAAUUAACCAAAAUAUAAUUCAGAUAAAGUUAUAGACUCUACAGUAUAGUCUUAUAAUAUAUAUAUAGCAAUAAUUGAAUAUAUUGUUGGAAAAUGGGGUUGAGGAUUAGAUAUUCGAUAGAGACAUUUGUGUGAUGUUAGCAUUUUUUUUUCUCAAAUCGGUAAUGCAUGCAUACUUUUAAAAGAGUAGUUACUCUUCAAAUCUCGAGUUGGAUAUGGUCUCCAACUCGAUCGGUAAGCUUUUUAUGAGUCGGGCUGCAGCAUGAUUGUCAUUCCAUGGUCAAACUCGAACAUUAUGAGAAGUCUUCUCAAAUAUGAAAGAUGUUUUAGUAGAUGCUCAACGAUCACAUGAACAAGAACUUACUAAAUCACUUGGAACUUUGGAAGAGUUUGAUUAUGAUUGAUGUCAUGAUAUUUAAGUUAUCUUUUAUAGAGAUACAUACAUCAUACAUACAAUAUGAUUAGUAUUCAAAAAAAUAAUAAAUGAUUAGUAUUCCGGUCUUUGGUCCAAGUGAUCUAUCUAUACGAGUUUUGAGCAUGUGUAGCCGUAAGCCGUUUUACGUCAUUUCGGACCGGAGCCUUGUUAACGUUUAUAAUUGUUAGAAUCGAAUCAUAAAAAUCUAUACAGUAAUACUGUAGAAUAAAACAUAUAAAGAAUUAAAUUAACAAAGAAAAUAUUAAUUAUACAACAAUAUUUUCUUUAAAAAUCUAAUCAAGUUUUAUCAUUAAAAUUGAUAAAUAACUUUUAGAUAAAAUAUUUAAAUUAUUCAAUGUAUUUUAUGCCUAUAAUCAAGUAAGGUAAAAUUUAAUCAAAAUUUUAAAAAUAUAUUUUAAAAUUGCAUUCAACCUAUAAUCGCCAAUCAAUCUAAUUACUCUAUUUUCUUUAACAGUUAACGUUUGUCUACAUUUUUGUCACAUAGGCAAACUCAUGUUUUAUAGUUAUAUUAUGAUGUUAUAGUAAUAGAUGAUGCCUUUGAUUUUGAAUUUUUUUUUUGCUGCCAUAAGCGAAUGUUCUUUUUCUUUAAACUGAGGCUGCACUGUUUCGGACAUGUUCUUGAUGCAAAAUUAAUGCGUUUAUCGAUGUUAAAAUGGGAUAUUUUGACGUCACUGAAUGUUCUAUAUCAUCAUCAGCCGCUCAUCCGUCGACCACUUUAUCACUUAUGUAAUAACACACUCCACAAAACAUUUGGUGAAUUUGGUUUAUAUGCAUUUAUGGUGGCACUGAGAGUUGCUUUUUGCUGGACGUUUACGAGUCUAGACCUAUCUUAUUCAGCAACUUCAAAUCGGUUGCCACUAUUUCAACUUAGUAUUCAUAAGGAAAAAAAAAUUAUAAGGAAAGAUGUCUCAUUUUCUUAUUUUCUAGUUUGUCGUAUUAAGCUAAAAUUUUAAAUACAUUUCAUCACAAUAUGCAUGUAGUACGAAAUUUUUAUAAUGCAAUUUACUAAAACACUGCUUUUCCAGAGCAAUAUAAAAAAGCUCAUACGUAUUAUUUCAGAAAAUUUAUAAUUACAAGAAUUUUAGUUUUUUUGUUUGCUUAAAAAUCUUGCAUUAAUAAUACUUCUGUUUUAGAUUGGUAUUGUAAUUCGUUUUGCAAUGACAAACAAUUCAUUAGUUUUCUAAUGCAUUUUUAAAAGUAUACUCAUAGUUUACUUAACUUGAAAGCAUACAAUAUUUUUUUCGAAGAUUCCUUGGUGUAUUAUGAAUGAAUUAAUUGAGAGCCAUUAAGUUUGACAUUUUAGGCACUUGCGUAAUCGCAUGCGCAUUUGCAAACCACUAAUAAAAACCAAGGAUCCCACUUUCUUGACCGAUGGCGGCUGUUGUCCAAUCCAUUCACUUCCACGCAUAAUGCUUUGUUGCCGAUGCUUCACUUAUCUUCAACACUCAUUAUGUAUAUGAUCCCCCACCCCAGUUUUUCUCUACAUCUAAAAGUAUGUGUUUUUUUCUAGAUGCUUAUGAGAGUACUGAUCCUCUUUCACUAAUAACAAUGUAUUUACUUUCUAAGAUUCCGAGCGUUUUGUUUAGUUUAAUUUGUAAAUAUGUAAUAAAAUUAUAAAACUAAUGAUUUUUGUUUUUAAAUACGAAGUUUUGUUUAGAAAGAUUGAAAUGCGAUAUUCUUGCAAUGAAUCUUGAUCAUAUAUUUGGAAUAGUGAAAGCGGGCGUGGAAUAAAGGUUGAUGAAUGAAAAAAAAUAGAACACAAAUUGCUAACUGACAUGUUAAAUUCUACCUAAAAACAUUUCAAAAAAAAAAGAAAAUCUAUCUAAACAAGAAAGGUUAUAAUCAUUUCCCUAGGUUUCGACGUUAAGUCCAUUGUUGUUUCCGAUAUCAAAAUAUGGGAUCGGUCUUGAGACAUGAAAAAACUACGGUAUAAAAACUGAAUGAUCCAUACAUAUAUACUCCCUCUGUUCUCAAAUGUAAAAUGUUUUGGGUAGUACACACUUAUUAAAAAAAAUAUUUUUUAUUUAGAAAGUAUCAUUGAAAUUAUAAACUAAAAACUAAUCAACCAAAUACAAAAUAAAACUAUUAAAUUUGAUUGGCUACACAUAAAAAUUAUUCUAAACAUCUUACAUUUCAGAACAGAGGGAAUAUAUGUUUGGAUAAUUUGGAAAUUGAAUGAUCCGUGUAUAUAUAUAUAUAUUAUUAAUCUGGGUACUGUUUUGGACAUGAAAAAAGGGUCCAGACUAAUCUGUAAGAGCAUCUCCAAUGUACACCUCUAUAUUUUCUUCUAAAACAGAGAUCUCUAUUAUAGAUGUGAAAAUGCUCCAAUGUAUGUUCCUUAUCUCCCCUUGGUCACCGGUGAGAGGGUUGGUCUCGGACAAGAGCCUGACACCGCGUGAGAAUUGUUCAUGGAAGUAACCAUUGUCCGCAGCCAUCUUGGCCACAAAAGGUGCCGUCCUCGGGUCGCUGGCUAGCUCAUCAUCGAUGACAAGGAGCCCUUUAUGAGCCAUGAUGUUCUUGUAAUACAUAUUGUCCACAACCAUGGGAGUCUCACGGUCAUUACGGGAAUAUAAGACUGCGUUCGGAUCCGGGUUUGGACUUGGGCAACGAUUUUUCAAGUAAAGGGCGUAAUCUGGGUCUAGAGUCGGGUCAAUCGUUGGGUAUAGCCGGUGCACUAGAUUAACGCAAUGGACCCUACCAACGGAGUGAGCACCUACGAUAAUAUAAGUUGACUGAUGAGUAAUAGUGACAGUCAUUUUUUGUAAAACUCAUUUCUUUUCUAAAAUCGUGAAAAAAAACAAAAACCAAAAUAUUCAUCCUGGUAGUGUUAGUUACCAUGCCCUGAAAAGUUUGUGUUGUUUUAUUCACAUAGCAAUAGCUUAACAUUUU